rnacentral:lncRNA from 1 species
UUUUUUUUUUUUUUUUUUUUUUUUUUUGUUAGUGUUUUCAAUAACAAUUAUGGUUUUGGCAAUGCCAUUUUUUGGUCCAACUUAUGCUAAUGAAUGUCUUUUGCUCUGCUGCAUCUGUUCUUACAGGCUGCUCAUUUGUAUUCGGAUAGUUGUCCUUUCAUUGUUUUUGACAUGGAGAGUCAGACAUAAAAACGAAGAUGCAAUCUGGCUAUGGGGGAUGUCAGUUGUUUGCGAGAUCUGGUUUGCAUUUUCGUGGCUUCUUGACCAACUUCCCAAGCUAUGCCCAAUCAAUCGGGCAACAGAUCUUAAUGUCUUGAAGGAGAAAUUUGAAACACCUAGCCCUGCUAAUCCCACUGGUAAAUCUGAUCUUCCGGGCAUAGAUAUCUUUGUUUCUACUGCGGAUCCAGAGAAAGAACCACCUCUUGUAACUGCAAACACCAUUUUGUCAAUUCUAGCUGCUGAUUACCCUGUUGAAAAACUUGCUUGUUAUGUUUCUGAUGAUGGAGGUGCACUUCUAACAUUUGAGGCCAUGGCAGAAGCUGCAAGUUUUGCUAAUAUUUGGGUUCCUUUCUGCCGUAAACAUGAUAUUGAGCCCAGGAACCCUGAGUCUUACUUUAAUUUGAAAAGGGAUCCUUAUAAGAACAAAGUGCGAUCGGAUUUUGUCAAGGAUCGCAGGAGAAUCAAGCGUGAAUAUGAUGAGUUCAAGGUUCGGAUCAAUGGCUUGCCUGAUUCUAUUCGCCGCCGAUCUGACGCUUAUCAUGCUCGUGAGGAAGUCAAGGCCAUGAAACUUCAAAGACAGAACAGAGAUGAUGAACCUGUGGAGAGUGUAAAGAUUCCAAAAGCUACUUGGAUGGCGGAUGGUACCCAUUGGCCAGGGACUUGGAUGCAUCCUGCGCCUGAGCAUUCUAAGGGUGACCAUGCUGGUAUAAUACAGGUAUCAAUCUUAGUACAUAGUUUUAUACCAGUUGUUCAGACCAUCUAAACAGUGAACUGACCGUGAUUUGUUCUGGUCAAUAUUUAAAGCAAUUGGUUAGGUUUCUGAUAGUUUUUUUUUAAAUUACUAUUUUUAACUGCAUUAUUUCAAUAAUUUAUUAGUUGAGUGGGAAGAGACUAGAAAGAAUUAAAAUAAUAUAAAAAAAGAAGAAAAGGUGAAAUAAUCAAUUGUGUGAUGCAGGUGAUGUUGAAACCUCCUAGUGAUGAACCACUGCAUGGAAAUGCUGAUGAUACAAAGAUCAUGGACCUUACAGAUGUUGAUAUUCGUCUUCCAUUGCUCGUUUAUGUUUCUCGUGAGAAACGCCCUGGCUAUGACCAUAACAAGAAGGCAGGGGCCAUGAAUGCGCUUGUUAGAGCUUCAGCCAUUAUGUCUAAUGGUCCCUUCAUUCUCAACCUUGAUUGUGAUCACUACAUUUACUACUCCCAGGCAAUGAGGGAAGGCAUGUGCUUCAUGAUGGAUCGAGGAGGUGACCGCAUCUGUUAUGUUCAGUUCCCUCAGAGGUUUGAGGGUAUUGAUCCUUCUGAUCGAUAUGCCAAUAACAACACCGUUUUCUUUGAUGUUAAUAUGCGUGCCCUUGAUGGUCUUAUGGGUCCAGUCUAUGUUGGAACUGGAUGCCUCUUUAGAAGGACUGCCCUAUAUGGCUUUGACCCUCCUCGAGCAAAAGAACACCACCCAGGAUGCUGCAGUUGUUGCUUUGGUCGGAAGAAGCAUUCCUCAGUUGGAAACACGCCAGAAGAGAACAGGGCAUUGAGAAUGGGUGAUUCUGAUGAUGAAGAGAUGAACCUCUCCUCAUUUCCUAAGAAAUUUGGCAAUUCGACGUUCCUCAUAGAUUCAAUCCCAGUGGCAGAGUUUCAAGGUCGCCCUCUUGCAGAUCACCCAGCUGUUAAGAAUGGACGCCCUCCUGGUGCUCUUACCAUUCCUCGUGAGCUUCUUGAUGCAUCAACUGUUGCAGAGGCAAUCAGCGUUAUUUCUUGCUGGUAUGAAGACAAGACAGAGUGGGGACAGCGAAUUGGUUGGAUUUAUGGGUCUGUUACUGAAGAUGUUGUCACAGGUUAUAGGAUGCACAAUAGGGGAUGGAAAUCAGUUUAUUGUGUGACCAAGCGUGAUGCUUUCCGAGGGACUGCUCCAAUCAAUCUCACAGAUCGGCUUCAUCAAGUCCUCAGAUGGGCUACUGGUUCUGUUGAGAUUUUCUUCUCACGCAACAAUGCCUUGCUAGCCAGCCCAAGAAUGAAAUUUUUGCAGAGGAUAGCAUAUCUUAAUGUUGGUAUCUACCCAUUUACCUCCAUUUUUCUGAUUGUCUACUGCUUCCUACCUGCACUAUCCCUUUUCUCUGGCCAAUUCAUUGUACAGACCCUUAAUGUCACUUUCCUCGUCUACCUUCUUGUCAUUACUGUGACUCUAUGCUUACUUGCUAUACUUGAGAUCAAAUGGUCUGGCAUUGAGCUAGAGGAGUGGUGGAGGAAUGAACAGUUUUGGUUAAUUGGAGGGACUAGUGCCCACCUUGCUGCGGUGCUUCAGGGGCUACUGAAAGUUGUUGCAGGAAUUGAAAUCUCUUUCACCUUGACUUCAAAAUCAGGUGGUGAUGAUGUAGAUGAUGAGUUUGCUGAUCUUUACAUUGUAAAAUGGACUUCAUUGAUGAUCCCGCCGAUCGUGAUCAUGAUGACCAACUUAAUUGCUAUAGCUGUUGGGUUUAGCCGAACAAUAUACAGUGUUUUACCGCAAUGGAGCCGUUUAAUAGGUGGAGUUUUCUUCAGUUUCUGGGUUUUGGCUCAUCUCUACCCGUUUGCCAAAGGUCUAAUGGGAAGACGAGGAAGAACACCGACCAUUGUUUUUGUAUGGUCAGGACUUAUUGCAAUCACUAUCUCUCUCCUUUGGGUGGCUAUCGAUCCUCCGUCAAAUACUACCCAAAUUGGAGGCUCGUUCCAGUUCCCUUGAGAGGCCCUUCUUUUUCUGUUGAGCUGCAUUUGUUCAGUGAAAUUCCUUCAUUAGUUCUUGGUUUUUUUUUCCCCUCAUUCAAAAAGUUUUAUCGUGUCGGAAAAUGGAUUAGGGUAUGUUCUUGUUGUUGUGCCCAUUUAUACUAAUGCUUACUUUUGUAACAGUUCUCCCAAGGAUCAUCAGGAACAAGUAGCUGAAAUUCUAGUCAUCAGUUUUCCAUUUUCACGUGGAUAACUAGGACCUUGCUUAUUAUUGUAUUCUUUGUAAUGUAGAAAGUGCACAUUGAAAGCAGUUAUUGCCAGAUUUAUUUUAUACACUUCAAAUUUACAAGUUUGCAUAUUUCUUUGUAGUUAUGGAUUCAUACUCUAAAAGAAAUGUUUAGAAAUUAGAGGGCUACAUAAAAAAAAAUAUAGUAUCGUGAAGGAAAUUUUCAAAUCACACUCUUUAUGGGAUAUUUGAAACUUAUACUAAAUAAGAGUAAAUCUACAUUCGUGUAGAUAAUCUAAAAUUAAUGGUUAUGAUCAAUUGACAAUUAAUGGAAAUCUAUGCAUCAAACUUGAAUUUAUUAAUAAUUUAGUUUUCUUUGUCCAAAAUAGUUUUUUUUUUUACUUAAUUAUAAUUGAUUAAAAAUUAAUUUUUAAAAAAAUUAAUUCUUAAAUUAUAAUCAAACUAAUUAUGAGAUCCUUAACUUAUAAUUUAUAUUAACAUUUUAAUCCAUCCGUCAAAAUUUUGAUAACAUUUUGAUCCCUCUAUUUUUAACGGAAAGAUCAAAGUGUUCAUAAAAUUACAAUUUAAGAAUCUUGUAGUUAUUUUUUAAAAAUAAAGAUUCUCAUAUUUUAAUUUAACUGUAAUUUAAGAAUUAAAUUUUUUCCCCAAAUUUUAAAUAAAGAAAUACCAUGUUUAAUUUUCUCAACCUUAUAUUUUUCAAAUGGAUUUAUUGAUUGAGUGUCGUGUUUAUAUAACAUAUUAUUAAUUAUACAAAUGAUAAAUUUCCCUCUUCCGUUCUUAGAAAUUUUUUUUUUUUAUUUUUAACUUUAUUUAAGCAAUGAAAGAUAUAUGUCUUGUUUCAUAUAAAUGCUUUGCAAAUUUCAUAUUUACUUGUUAAUGAAAAUACAAAUGUAUUUCCUCUAAAAAUAAAAAAUACAAAUAUAUAUGGAUAUAAUAUGAAAUUAUGACUAAAAAUAGAAUAUUUUUCCUUCCAAAAGAACGAAGAUUUUUUCUAUAUUUAUAUCAAGAAUAUUUAUAUUAGGUAAUACGUUGGCAAGUCUAUUUGUACAUGAUAUACCCUUCUAUUUGCAUUGGAAAAAACACAUCACUUGGAUGAUUUUUUUUCCAUAAUUAUACUAUAUAUUCAAUUUUUUCCCUAGCAUAAUUUUGAAAUUAAGAUUUUUUUCCAAAAAAAGAAAAUUUACGUCAAUCAAUUUCUAUAUAGGAUAAAAAAAAAAAUUGGAAAAAGGGACAGCUGUAAUUAUUUUAAAUAUUUUAACAUUCAAAUUAUAUAUAUAUUUUUUGAAGUACCCUUUUCAAGAAUUGGGCUGUCUGAAGUUCUCGUGUCGCAACGACUAAAAUUCAUUUGGAGCAAUUAUACCAUGUCUCUGCAAACUCCACCUGGCAUCACCUCGUGACUAAUACUACUUCAAUGUCCGUUACUUUUUAACUUUUUAUAAUAAUUAAAAUUAAAAUAAUUAUUGAACCACUUAAAUUUAAAUAAAUAAAUAAAGAUAAUUAGUUAAAUUAUUUUUUAAUUAAAAGAGAUAAAAUUUCGUAGAAAUACCUAAAUAAAAGUUAAUAAAAAUUGCUGUUGAAUGAAAAAGACUGGUAAAUGCAACAAAGAAACAAGUUCCACCUGCCAGUCACUGUUCAUAUCAUAAACUAUUAUUUUCUAAAAUAAGAUACAAGAUCUUCUAAAUAUCAUAAUUUUCGCAAUUUUUUAAUUUUUUUUAAAAUUUAUAUUUAACAUACACAUACUUUUAGCAAUUUUAAUAAUACAAAUGAAUAUGUGUGUAUUUAAUAUAUUUUUUUAAAAUUUAUAAAAUUCGAAAUAUUCUAUAUAAAAUUUAGUUGAAGAAAUUUUUAUAAAUUUUUAGCUAUUAAAUUUAAUAAAUUUCGCUUCUUUGCUUGAAAUUGGAUGUCACUUUCUUUCUCAUCCGCCUUCUAAAUUUGUUACCUGGCUCGAUCAUGAUCUAGCGGGUGUUUUCUAUUCGCGUUCUAUUUAGUUUUAUUUGAGCUUUUGCUCCCCUUAUCUUACAAAAAAGAAAUUUAAUAGAUUUCAAAAUUUAAAUAAGUCUCAUAAUAAUAUUGUCACUAUAAUUUAAUAGAAAUAUUAUUAUUAAUAAUAAAGUAUUAAAUAAAUACAUCACAUAAAUAAAGAGAAAUAAAUCACAAGAAAUAUAUUUUUUGAGUAUUAAUCAAGAGAAAUAUUUUACUUAUAAAAGUAAAUUUUAGUUAUACAAUAAUAAAUUAAAUUUCUAAAUAUCAUAAAAAUAUAUUUUCUAUCUGUAAAAUAUGUUCUCAAAAAUAUUUAUAUUAUGAAAAAUAAAUAUAAUUUAUUAAUUAUGUAUGAUCUGAUUGUUUAUCUUAUUUACGUGGAAAGUGAAAAUUUUAGAUUUUAAAUUGUUUUUUAUAUCUAUUCAACGAUUUCAACAAAUAAAAAAAAUUGUUUAAAAAUAAAUUAUUAAAUUUCCAUUCUAUUGAUAUUCCAUAAAAUAAAAUAAUAUAUUUUUGAUAUAGCAAGAUAAAGAUAAAGUUAAAAUAAAAUAACUAAUAUAAUCAUAAUUUCUUAAAAAUAAUUUCUACAUAAAAGGAAUAAGGAACUAUCAAAUAUUUAUACCCAUUUAGAGCAUCCCGAAUUCCAACACUGGAAAAUUGCCUGAACAUAUCGGUUCAAUUCCCGUUGCGAAUCUUCGGUCCUAUCUGAAAUCCCCCUGUCGUCUAAUGGUGAUUUACAAUUCAGGUAUGAGGAUAGGGGCUCCAUGACUUUCACCGAUGUGAUGUGAGGGAGAUUAUACAGCUUCAGAUCACUCUCUGUCCGGGCCUUUGGGUCUGAAGUCCUCUUUCUUCUCGGCUCUUCACUUGUUUAUCGUCCCUGCUGCGCUCUUUCGCCGCACACCGCCGUCGCCACGUGGGUAACAUAAUUAUUGCUGCCUUUGGUAUGUUAAAAAGCUGAGAUUUGUUUAUCGAAUUACAAGAUUUCAAUUACUUUGUUGAUUUUUUUUUAGCUUCCAUGGAUACCAGUGAAGACUGUAAACUGAAAAGGCAAAAACUUUGCGAGACAAUCGUUGAAGAUAGGAUUAGUAGUUUGCCAGAGGCGGUUCUUGGCCACAUUUUAUCCUUUCUUCCAACUAAAACUGUAGUGCAAACAAGUAUUUUGUCUAGAAGAUGGAGAAACAUUUGGAAUUCUGUGUGUAAUUUUGAUUUUGAGUUUCUUUAUGAUGGUAAUGAAGACUUGAGCAGGGUACAAAAAUUUGGGAGAUUUGUAGACUCAGUACUAAUUCUUCGUUCUUACCCAUGUAUUAAAAAGUUCCGCCUUCACUUUCAUUCUUCGUUACCUUGUAAUGCAAGUACAUGGAUUCGCGCUGCAGUUAGGAAUAAUGUUGAGGAGCUUGAUCUCGGUAACUUUCUAAGUACACUCGAGAUGCCUCGGAUCGUUUUCAGUUGUGAGACUAUAAGGAUCUUGAAGGUUUACCAUGGAUUUACCUUUCAGAUUCCCGAGGCUGUAUGCCUUCCAAGUCUCAGGGUUCUUCAUUUGGUAUCUCUUUUUUCCUUGAAGGAUGGUGACAUAGAGAAGUUUUUAUCAGGAUCCCCUGUUCUCGAAGAACUAUUUAUUAAUUCGCAUCAUAAUGAUCUUGUAACAACAUUGUCUGUUCAGUCCUCAUCACUUAAAAGUUUGAAAAUUCGGAGGAGAGAUCAGUGUCGUUUUGGAUUUUUUAGGCUUAUAAUUGAUGCACCAAAACUAGAAUUUCUUGAGCUGAUUGAUUAUGUCUCUGAAGAAUUUGAGAUAGUGAAGUUGUUACCUUCACUAGUUAAAGCAUCUGUGGAUGUUAGGCCAGAAGAUUUCAUUUAUGACAGCGUACAAGCAGCUCAGGUGUUUGGACUUCUGAAACAAAUCUCUAAUGUGAAAUCUUUAAGCUUAUUUGGAGUUACGGUUGAGGUAAUUGCUUCUCUGUUUACUUUUAUUUUUAUUUCAUUUGUAUUGGGAUUAUGCUCACUGUCUUACACUUUGCCUUCUCAGGGAAUUGAUUUUGCAGAUACAGGUUUCACUUACCCCAUUUUUCAUAAUUUGAUGCAUUUGGAGGUGAAUGCCAAUGAAAAUGGAUGGCUCGGGUUCCUUGAAAUACUCAGAAACUCACCAAAUUUGGAGACAGUCGUACUCCAUAAGGUCAGUUCAAAUGGCUCAAUUCAAAUAUAAAAUCUAUAAAUUUGAAUAUUUCUUACUUCAUAUGUGAUGAUAGAGGAGUAAAUAUGGAGCUUUGUUUGACUUGAUACUGUCAUUAGAGUUAUAGAUAAAUAAAUUUUAAUAUAAUUCCGUAAAAUUCUAUUUGAAAUCUAGUAGAAGUGCUUGUUUGUUCUCUCUUUAUGUUUGUUCUUGUGACUCAAAAGGAGGGGAACACCUAUAAAAACCUUAGAUUAAAUGGAACAGAGAUCUAGGGAAUGAGACUCCAUGCACAUCUUCACUAACACAAGAAUACCCUCGGGAGGCUUAUGAACGUUAUGUAACCCCAUACUGAACUUGAGAGCUGGAAUGAUGGUGCCUUUUUGAAACACAAGAUAGGAGUGAGUUUUUACAGGUUGUGCUGAAAUUAUGGAACUGUAAAUGGAACUAAGUUGUAUCUAUAUGGUAUUGAACUUUCACUGGUGUUAGUUAAUAAAGCUUUGAUUAUCUUUUGUCAACAGCAUGAGAUUAUGCUAGAAAUUUGUUUCUUGCAGUGAUAUCUUUUACUAAUUUAAGCUUUGAUUAACAUUCUACUGGAAGAACUUCAAUCAUCUUUUGUGAACAGGACAAUGAUCGUUCCGAUUAUCCUGAUGAAAGCUUUCGGGCACCAGCUGUGCCCCGAUGUUUCUUCUCAUCUCUCAAGAGAGUUGAACUUAGAGGAUUUGAAGGAAAUAGAGUGGAGAUGAAAGUAAUAAGAUAUUUCCUGAAAAAUGCUAAGGUCUUGAAGAAACUUGCAAUUGAAUAUUUGGAUGACAUGGAUCCUAAGAAAGAGACGAAGCUGUUGAAGAAGCUGUUAAAGUUUCCAAGGGCCUCAUCCACAUGUCAAAUCAUAUUUUAUUGAACUCCUUACCUGAAACUUUCUGUUUUGUUGAUUGCAUGCCAUGAACUUGCUUAUGAGGGGCAUUUUCUGAUAUUGUUAAUAAGAGAGGUCUACAGGUUCCCUCUUUAUGAGUUCGCAAGCUCUCUGUACUGAAGUUCUUGGGAUUAUAUAUAAAGAUUUAUACAAUGUGUCAAAAAAUAUGAAUUUAGUUCAUCUUUCUAUAUCUGAGACCAACUGGUGACUGUUACAUUAUUAGGGUCAUAAAUCAAAUCCUGAGACGCAAUUGAGACUUGUGACAAUUUAUUUAGACUUUGAGCAAAAUUUAAUGAAUUGGCAGGUAUUUUCAUUGAACAACUAAGCAUAUAAUUCUCCCCUUUUGAAAGACAUUUGUUGUGUUUAUAUCUAUUAUGUGUAGCUGAUCCUUGAAGACCGCUUCAUGAGGCGAUAUAUAUUGCAAUCAUGGACCAAAUUUUGCACCCUAAAGCUCAAAAGAAGACCCAUUAUUGUGAACACGAGUCCUUUAAAGGGGAGAAUUGUCAUUUUGGUAUAAUCAGGAAGUGUGAUUCUUAAAGGUGAGAAUUGUCAUUUUGAUAUAAUCAGAAAGUGUGAUUCCCUAGGAUUGUGAUUCUUAAAGGGAAGAAUUGUCAUUUUGGUAUAAUCAAGAAGUGUGAUUCCUCCCUCGGAUUGAAGGAUAGGAAGGGAGAAUUGUCAUUUUGAUUUGGGAGUUAGUCUAGUAUACAUACAUGAAUUUACUUCUAUUUAGUACUAAAAAUGUGAUAUUAUCUGACCUACGACCCUUAGUCUAGAUAACUAAGUUGAGGUCCUCAUGACCAAAAGAUCAUGGGUGUUGUUCCCUUCCAGCAUUCUAAUAUUAUAACCUCGACCUGCCAAAUUUGCACAUAUUAGUGUAGAAAGAAAAUAUACACGUUAUCAUAAAAGCAUGCCUAGUAAUUAAACUAAAAGGAUAAACGAUUCAAAGAGAAAUUUAGAAUCAAAAUUUCACUAAUUAGGAGAAUCAAUAAAGAAAAUAUAAAAAGAAAGAAAAGGUUUAUAGCUAGAAAAUGGUAGAGAAAAAGUAGAUGACAAAGAAAACUUGUCUUGACUCUUUAGUAAUAACUUUCAAAACUGAAAAAUUCCUCACGUAGUAAACCUAACCCGUCACUUAAAAGCCAAAAAAGAAAAAACAAAAACCCUGAAAAAACAUGCAUGUAGAAAGCGUGAAAAUUUAGUUGUUAAAGCAGCAUAUAUGCAUGUCCAAGCUAACCUACCUCUCAUAUUAGAAGCUCACAACACAAAUAUUUUCAUUUUCAUUUCUCAAGAAAAGAAAAUACCAAUGGCAACUUACCUGAAAUUAUUACUACUCUUAUCUUCUCUUCUCUCGGCAAUAGCUACAGAUAUUACCUCCAGAAGCCAUGAACUCGAUGUUGCAAUUGAAGAAAUGACAACGGCUAAUUAUUUCACCUUUGUAACCCUAAUUAACAUGGCUCCUUUUGAUAAUAGAAUUCAAGAAAAUAUCACUUUCUUGAUGCCUAAUGAUAAAAUCUUGUCAAAAACAGGAAUCUCCCAAGAUUCUGUUUCUGAUUUUCUUCUUCGCCAUUCGAUUCCUUCUCCUUUAAUUUUCGAGCAUCUUCAGCAUAUUCCAUCUGGUUCUAGAAUUCCAAGUUCAAAGCCUGAUUACAUGCUUGAUAUUAACAACAAUGGCGGCCGGAGAAGUUUUUUUCUUAAUAAUGUCAAAAUUAUUAGCCCUAAUAUUUGCACUGCAGGUUUUUCGAUUCGUUGCCAUGGAAUAGAUGCUGUGUUGGUUGAUAUAAACAAUAAUACAUUAUCCAGUUGUUCUAACGCCAGUGCUCCUCCGGUGGUUGUGGGGGCUCCACCACCAGUAUCAGCAUUAUUACCGCCGUUACCACCGGCAGCUGUAGCUCCUUCUGCGAUUGCCUCUGAUCAGAUUCCUGUGGUGGCUGAUAAUGGUCCAAAAAAGUCAGGGUCUUCUAUGUCAUUUAAAAUAUCUUUGAAAUUUACUUUUAUUUUUGUUGUUAUUUCAAUAAUUUGGUUUAAUAUAUAGUUUAAUUUGUAUUUGGAAUUAAAUUAACCUAUUUUAGUCAAUGUUUUAUUGGAUUUAAAUUUGUUUUUUAACACUAUACGUAUAAAUUUUCUGAAAAGAAAAAUUGAUCUCGAUGCAUAUAAGUUUCUUUUUAAAAGUUUUUACAAGUGCAAACUGUAAGAAAAUGUUAAUUUUACUAAUUCUUUUUAUUUAAUUUAUUAUAAUCUCUUUCUGAAAAUUGUUUUUUCAAAUGAAUAAUAAAUAACAAUUACAAUAAGAAUGUUACAGCUUCACUCUUUGUAUUAAAAAUGCAUUAAAUAAUAAUAUAACUUUACUGAUUUAUAUUUUUUUUUUCAAAAAUAUAAUUUAUUAAUAAUAAUAUGAAAUAUUAAAAAUACUCAAUUAAAUCAAACAUAAAAAACCGCAACAACAAAUUGGUGGCACAACGGUUAACAGCUAGACAUAUGCCAUCUUUAUACCCAUUAAUUAUGCACUGCAUAUGAAAUUCAGCAUCUCUUAAAGCAUAAACGAUAAACUUUUUCAUCUACUUUAAUAUUUUCUAUACAUAAAUAAAUAAACAUUAUAACUGAAUUUUCCUUCAAUAAUUAUUGAAAUUCAAAAAUAAUAAAUUCGUUUGGAUUGAUGGUAGGGCACAGUCAUACUCCAAUACUAAAAGGGUAAAAACUUUUUAAAAUUAAGACUCCAGCAACAUAUUUUGAGGGAGAGUUUAGAGUUUUGACUGUGUCAAAACACUAUUUUUAUAAAUCAUAUCAUUGGUUGGGUAAAGUAGUAUAUAAAAUAGGUGUUAGUAGAUAAGAUAAAGUUUAUUAAAAUUUUAAUCCAUCUAAGUUUAUAUUUUCUUAUUAAAAUUUUUUUGACAAUUAUGGCCUUAAUUAAUUUAUAGUAACAUUAGUUUAAAGUUUUUUUUUGCUAUGAUACUGCAAGUCUGCAAUUAAGUUAAAAAAUUACAUUAUUUUACUCAAAAAUUUAAACAAAAUAAUUUCAUAAUGAAUUAAUAAAGGAAUAUGUGAGGAAAUUGUAUUAUCAUUUUAGAAAUGAUAAUGAUGUCAAUUUAUAUAAUUGGACCACACACUAUAAAUUGACAUUUUUUUUUUAAUAAUGAGUUCACUACUAUAGUUAUAAAUAAAAUUCUAACUCAAUAUUUAAAUGUCUCUUUUUGUCACGUUAAAUUCAAUAGCUAAUCAAAUAAUUAUUUUUACCGAAUACUUUUACUCUAAAUAGUUAUAUAAACAGCUAAUAGCUUGUAAAACCGCUAACAGGUACUAAAACAGCUGAUAUUGUCGAACAGGUACUAAGAGGACAAAAUUAAAAGAAAAUUUUUUUUUGCAAUGUUUUAUAGGGGAAUUUCAAAAAAUUAUAGAGUUUGGGAGAUCCGCCUUGUCCAGUCCCUCUCCCUCUGCCUUGGGUCGAUAGAAUUUGAGUAAUAAAAUUUUAAAAUUUUAUGAAUUUGUUAGAUUUGUUUAUUUGAACUCAAUACUCAAUACUUGAUCUUCAUAAAUCACAUCCUUGAACUCAAUACUCGAUCUUCAUUAUUAAGAUUCUGCUGGGAUUAAUGCUCUAAUCCCGAGUGGGGCCCGUGAAGAAUGCUGGUGGUAGAAGUAAAAUAAAAUUACCGAUGAUAAAAGUUAAUAUUGCCGAUAAAGAUUUAAAUUACUAUUACCACAUUCACCUCCAAUAAUUUCAUAUUGGAUAUUAACGACCGAAUCCACCAGAAAUAAUAAUCACGAUAAAAAUUAAAUAAUUACCGUAAAUGCCAGAUAAAAAUAGGGAUAAAGAGAUUUACGUGGUUCACCCUUCAACUAUUAUGGGCUACAUCUAUAGAACAAAAACUUCGAAUAAUUCUUCUACUAAAAAUAGUAGGUACAAAAAAGAUUGCAAAAAUAGUGGCACUCUAAGUGUUUCUCAAAAACACUCCAAAAAUUAUAAUCCUAUCUAUUUUCUCUCUUUUCCAAUUUUAGGAACUCUUUUCUAAAAUUCUCUACACUUAAUUGUGUAUUCUUAUUCUUUUGUUUUUGUGUGUUUAGGUUGAAAAAAAACUUCUCCUAUUUAUAGGAGAAGUGGAUGCGUUAAUCAAUGCAUCUGCACAAUUAACGCAUACAUCUUCGUUUUGUAGCUCCAGCCUUAUUUGACCUUUUAAACAAAACGUGUUUUUCUCCUUUUUUUUUUUUUUUUCUUUUUCAAACUUGUGUGGGUCCCACACAACAGAUUCGAGUUGUAUAAUUAUGAUUAAAUCCUACAAUUGGAGAAAUAAUGUAAACCAAGUAGAUAUAUUUCUUUUUUUUUUUUUUUUUUUGUAUUAUAUAAUAUAAUUACUAGGUGUAUUUCUUAGUUUAAGAGCAUGAAGAACUCAUUUUCUAUUUAGGCUGUCUCAGCUUAUUGUAAUUAAGCAGGGCAUGCAUUUACCAUGUGGGAAUUAAAAAUUAAAAUGACAAAUGCCAAAAAAAAUGAACCCACCCUUAGGGCAUAAGCGAUCCCACCCAAUCUAUGUAUUAGAUAGCCUUUGAUAUAUCUCUAUACUUUAAUACCGCAUAAAGGCUUCACAUCCAAACAUGCUUCUUUGUUACAAUUUACAUUCAAUUACUUUAUUAAGAAUUGUUGAUUAUUUCAAGCACAAUGCAAAUGAAAAUUGAAAAUUAUUAUUAAAAAAAUGAUAAUUUAAAGCGUCAAACAAUUCAUUUAUAAAUAUAGAAAUAGGAAUAGAAAAAUUCAUAAUUGCAAUUUGGAAUAAUUGUUUGGAUUGAGAGAAAAAUAUGAAGUUUCAUGGAAUAUCUUUUCUUUUGUAGUUUUGGUUAUUUCUAUUGUAACAACAAUUAUGUAAAUUUACUUUUUGUUUUAUUGAAAAUAAAUUAGUGUUUUAAGCAGCUUAUUAAGAAUAAAUUAGUAAUUUUAGUUUAUUAACACUUAAAAAAUAAAAUGUAUAUAUCAUAGAAUAUUAAAGUGUCAUGUAGAAUGAUAAGUAAGCCAAAUGGAAUAGAAUGUUCUUAAUAAUUAAACCUUAUUAAAGAGAGAGAAAUAAAAUGAAAAAAAGCCACUUGGCAAUUGUUUAAUAAAUAUAAAUAAUGUCAAAUGGCAUAGAUGGCAAAUCUUCUGCUUUUAAAUAUGGUAAUAUUAUACAGAUAGAUUGAGAUUACAUACCAUAUUAAGCGCUAAACCAAUUAAAAAAUUUAUGAGAUUGGCAAAAUUUCUUAUCAUCUCUCUUAUUGCCAUUGCUUUUCUCAUCUCUUCUAUUAGCUCUGCAGGUCUUUCGAUCUAUUUAACUUAUCUAAUCCCGUUGGUUGGAUUUUAGGCUCUACUUCGGUUUGAGUUGAGUUUGAUUUUUAAAGUUCAAUAAGAGUUUAUUUAAUUCGGUUUGAUCCAGUUCAAAAAUAAACCAACUCAUAAACUUUGAACUCUAUUUAGAUUUAUAAUGAAUGUACAUAUAUUUUGCUACUGUUAGUCACAUUUCAUUAAUUAUUACUUUUGAUUUAUACUGUUUUUACAAAUAUCGUAUAUCAGUGCUAGCCAUUUUUUAAAAGAUGAUUCAUUGAAACAAAAUUAAAAAUAAAUUUAAUUAAUUAAUUAGAGAUCAACGAGUUAAAAGAACUCUUUACGAAUUUGCUUUAUUUAAUUAUUCUAAUUUUAACUUUCAUUUACAUUUUGUUUUAUUAGUGUACUUUAAUUAAUAGCCAAACGAGCUUUAUUUAAUUAAUCGCAUUUGUGUUGAAUCAAUUGGAAUAGUUCUUUCUAUGAUGAGGUUAACAAUACUAGAAAUGAUAGUGUCCAAAAUCUUACUUUUAUGAAUAAGAUUCCUGCUGAGGAAUAGAUGUCUGUGAAAGAUUUGUUACAGCUUGAUUGAGACAAUAAUACAAAGUAUAUUUAUUAAUUUUAAUAUAUUCAAUAUAUACCUUAUAUAUAUAUAUAUAUAUACAGUAUAAUAUUACCAAUCAAAAUUAAAUUAUUUUUAUUUUUCAACUGAUAAAUUUUAAAUCCUUAAAGAAAUUAUAUUUUUACUACAUUUAAUAUAUACUUUAUUUAAUAUCCAUCAAAUAGUUACUAUAUUAUAUUAUAUUACCAUAUAAUAUGUAUAUAUUACCAUAUUUAAAAUACAAUUAUAUGGUAUUGUAUUUUAAAUACAAUACCAUAUUUAAAAUAUAUAUACAUAUUAUAUUAAAUUAUAUUAUAUUAUAUCAUAUUAUAUUGUAUACAUAGUUACUAUAUUAUAUUAUAUUACCAUAUAAUAUGUAUAUAUUACCAUAUUUAAAAUAUACCAUAUAAGAAGGAAGCUUCUCAUAGAUAUUCAUAGAUAGUGAAUUGAGAGAGCAGGUUGUAAAGGUAGAAAAAGAAAAUCUCAAUCAAGUUUAUAAAUGAUUGUAAUGAUAUUGUAUUUUUACUAUAUUUAAUAUAUACUUUAUUUAGAAUUCAACAAAUAGUAUUUUCAUAUUAUAAUAUAUUGCCAUAUUGAAGAUAUACAUUAUAUACCAUAUGUAAUAUUCUAUUUAUAUUAUAUUGUUUAGAUUUUAAAGCCAUUUUAUAAGAAUAAAAAUGGAACCGAAUAGUAUCACUAUAGUCUGUGUAUACCUUGUAUAAUAUAUAAUAUAAUUUAUUAUUUAUCCAAUAGAAUUUAGAUUUAAAUAGAAAAUUAAUAUGACCAAUUAAAAUUAGAUUAUCUUUAUUUUUUCAACCAAUCAAAUUAAAAUCUUUAAUAAUAUUUUUGUCACUCCAUAAUUUUAGUAGAGACUUUUUUAAUAAUUCCAAAGUCCUUCCACCAUCUCACAUUUAUAGGAGUUUUGUUUUACAUGUUUUCGGUUUCAAAACCGUCAAUUCUAGUUAUAAAUCAAUCAAAUUAAAGAUUUAUUAAAAAUAAUAACUAAACAUAUUAUUCUUAUCAUAUUUAAUAUGUAUCUUAUAUAGUAUAAUGUAACCAAUCAAAAUUAAAAUCUUUAAAAUUGGUCCGUUGGAAUAUGCUUGUUGGUUGUCAUAUACAGUCAUUAUCUGUGAGUGUAGGUUGUCAGAUAUAGUCAUUAGCUGUGAGGGUUAUCGGAUACAGACAAUAUCUGUGAGAAUUUUCCUUCUCAUAUACAUCCAAAGUAACGUCUAUAGUGGACUGACAGAGUGAACUGUAAAAGUAAAAAAAACAUCUCAAAAAACAUCUCAAUCAAGUUAAUAAAGGACUGUGUUGAUAUUAUAUUCUUACCACAUGUUAAUAUAUACUUCAUUAUCAAAUAGUAUUACCAUAUUAUAAUUGAUGAUUUUAAAAUCUUUGGUGGUAUUUUUAUCGAUUCAUAAAUUUAGUAUACGUGUUUUUGAUAAUUCUAGUGGUCCCCACACAUUCUCACUUUUGUAGGAAUAUUAUAUUAUAUUGUAUCGAUUUCAAAACCAUUGGGUAUAGUUAUAAACCAAUCAAGUUAAAGAUUUAUUAAAAAUAAUAACUAAACAUAUUAUGUUUUUAUCAUAUUUAAUAUGUACGCCUUAUAUAAGAGUAUCACAUAACCAAUUAAAAUUAAAUUACCUUUAUUUUUUUUAAUCAGUAAAAUUAAAAUCCUUAAAAUUGAUCCGUUGAAAAAAGAUUGUUGGUUGUCGAUUAUAGUCAAUAUCUGUGAAAUGCUUUCUUCUCAUACAUAUUCAAAGCAACGUCUGAUAGUGGACUGACAGAGCGAGCUGUAAAGGUAAAAAGAAAACAACACAAUCAAGUUAAUAAAUGAUUGCGCUGAUAUUAUAUUCUUACUAUAUUAAUAUAUAUUUUAUUUAAUAUCAAUUAAAUAGUAUUACCAUAUUAUAAUAUUAUAUUAUAUUAUAUUAUAUAGUUUCAGUUUCAAAACUACCUAUUUGAAAAUCUUUAAUGAUAUUUUUUUCAAUUCAUAAACUUAGUGGAUGCAUUUUUUAUAAUUUUACUGUUCCCUCAUACAUUCUCACUUUCAUAGGAGUAUUAUACUCUAUUGUUUCGGUUUAAAAACCGUGAGUUCCUAUUAUAAACCAAUCAAAUUAAAGAUUUAUGAAAAAUAAUAAUUAAACAUAUUAUAUUUUUAUCAUAUUUAAUAUGUACCUUAUACAGGAAUAUAACAUAAUCGAUCAAAAUUAUAUUACCUUUAUUUUUCUAACUAAUAAAAUUAAAAUUCUUAAAACUGGUCCAUUAAAAAAGACUUGUUGGUUGUUGGUUACGGUCAAUAUCUGUGAGAAGAUUCCUUCUCAUAUAUAUCUAAAGUAACGUCUGAUAGUAGACUGACAGAGCGAGCUGUAAAGGUGAAAAACUAUCUCAAUCAAGUUAAUAAAGGAUUGGGCUGAUAUUAUAUUCCUACUAUAUUAGUAUAUACCUUAUUUAGUAUAAAUCAAAUAGUAUUACUAUAUUAUAUUAUAUUACACCAUAUAAUAUAAUAUAAUAUAAUAUAUAUAAUACACAUUAUCAUAUGAUACAUAUAUAUUACCAUAUUUAAGAUAUACAUUAUAUACCUUAUUUAAUAUUAUAUGGUUUUGGUUUCAAAACUAGUGGUUCUAAUUAUAAGAAAAAAAAGAUGGAACCAAAUAGUAUUACUAUAUUUUAUACAUACCUUAUAUAGUAUAUAAUAUAAUUUUUUAUUUUAUCUAAUAAAAUUUAGCUUUAAAUAGAAAAUAGAUAUGACCAAUCAAAAUUAGGUUACCUUCAUUUUUUCAAUCAAUCAAAUUAAAAUCUUUAAUGAUACUUUUAUUUUAAUUUAUAAACUUAGUAGAGACGUUUUUAAUAUUCUUCCGCCCAUUCUCACUUUUAUAGGUGUAUUAGGUUAUAUGGUUUCGAUUUCAAAACUGUCAAUUCGAUUUAAACCAAUUAAAUUAAAGAUUUAUUAAAAAUAAUAAUUAAAUAUAUUAUAUUCUUACUAUAUUUAAUAUGUAUUUUAUGCAGGAGUAAUUUUAUUUUUAUUAAAAUUUAGUUAUCAAAUUAUAGUUGAAUAAGAAAAUUUAUGUUGUAUUAUAAUGUGAUUUACAUUAUACAACAUUUUGUGUAGGUGCAAGGUAUAUAUAAAAGAAACAAGAAAUCAUAAUUAGAUAUUGUAAGAUCAGAAUCAGAUACACUAGGAUUAUAAUCAGAUAUUUUAUUUUAUUUUAACAAUUAUAAUAAUAUUUUAUUAUUAUAAAAGUGUUAUUCCCUAUACAAGGUUAUUAAUUAUUGAUUUUUUUGUUUUAUUAUUUCGUAAAAUAUAUAUUUUUUAUUUUAUAAAUACUUAUUAAUGUCCAAUAUAAAUUGUUGAUAAUAUUAUAAUAAAAUAAUAAAAAAAAAUAUAUGUAUAAACUAAAUUACAUUUACCCUUAUAGCCAACGUGGAGGAGACGUUGGAGAAAUCUAGUAAUAAAAAAAUGCUUCACCAAGCAUGAGAUAACAGAUUCAGCUUUUCCUUGACAGGAACCAAAAUUGGGAAAUUAUUUAGUUAGCUAAAAAAAAUUAGAAAAUGAAAAAUCAAAUUUAAUUAAUAUCAACCAUUGCAUUGAACAGUCGCUUUAAAGGGUAAGCAGGGAGAGUUAGGUAGAGGGAAAAUAUUUGAUGAGAGAGAGCAAAGCCAAAAAUGAGAAGAAGAAUAACAAUAAGACCAACAAAAAAAAAAGGGUUGGGUUCGAUUUGGUUUUGAUUUGGUUUGGUUUGGUUUGGUUUCUUGAAAAUGAGACAGGGGCAUGCUUUCUUCUCCAUACUUCCCUUUCUAAAUCCACCUACUUCUAUUCUCACCCAGUCUUUAAACCUGUCCUCUUCUCCUUCCAUUCUCUUUAUUACAGUAUCUCUUUUUUCUCUAUCAUAUGCAGACAUAAUUACUUUAAAUAAUAAUAUUGACGAAAAAUUAAAGUCCUUUCUUGACUUAUUUAUGAUUCUAUAUAAUAAACUAACUUCACACACAUAACAGGCUUUUCAAGAAACAAGAAAAGAAAUAAAGAAAUUAAAAUUCAACUUCAAGAAAACCAAAAGCCAUGAUAUCCUUAGCCUCUGUUGAACCUCCUGAACAAAAACCCUCUCCUCCUCAAAACCAAGAUCGUUCUUCUUCUUCCUCGGAAACCCAUAUUUUCAGAUCAAAAUUACCAGACAUACCCAUUUCUAAUAAUCUUCCUCUCCAUACUUAUUGUUUCGAAAAUCUUUUUAAUGUUUCUGAUAAGCCAUGUCUUAUAUCAGGUUCUACAGGCAAAACCUACACUUUUGCAGAAACUCAUAUCAUAGCUCAGAAAAUAGCUGCUGGUUUAUCGCAUUUGGGUAUCAAGAAAGGCGAUGUUAUUAUGGUUCUUCUCCAAAACUGCCCAGAAUUCGUCUUUUCUUUCAUUGGUGCUUCCAUGAUCGGAGCAGUAACCACUACUGCUAAUCCUUUUUACACCAAAAAUGAAAUUUUCAAGCAAGUGAUUGCUUCGCGUGCUAAGUUAAUCAUUACCCAAUCCUUGAAUGUUGAAAAACUAAAAGAUUUGGAAGAAAAUUUUAUUCUGAUCACCAUUGAUGACCCACCAGAAAACUGUUUACAUUUCUCAGUACUUUCAGAAUCAAACGAAAGUGAAAUUCCUGAAGUUGAAAUAGAUCCUGACGACCCCGUGGCUUUACCAUUUUCUUCAGGAACGACAGGAUUGCCUAAAGGAGUGGUAUUAACACAUAAAAACUUAAUUACAAGCGUAGCGCAACAAGUGGAUGGAGAGAAUCCAAACCUUUGGUUAAAAGAAGAAGACGUUGUUUUAUGUGUAUUGCCUCUGUUUCACAUAUAUGCAUUAAACAGUGUUUUGCUAAACUCGCUUAGAGCUGGAGCCGCUGUGUUGUUAAUGCAAAAGUUUGAGAUAGGAACGUUGUUCGAACUAAUUCAGAGACAUAAGGUGUCUGUAGCCGCGGUGGUGCCGCCGUUGGUGUUGGCGUUGGCGAAAAAUCCGAUGGUGGCUGGAUUUGACCUUAGUUCGAUCAGGGUGGUGCUUUCAGGGGCGGCGCCGCUUGGGAAAGAGCUGGAGGAUGCUCUCCGGAGUAGAGUGCCUCAGGCGAUCUUAGGACAGGUUAGUAACAGCGUCACUCAAUAUAAUUUAUUUUUUUUAAUUUUUUUUUUUUAAUGGGUAAUCCCUCCCCCCCUUUUUUUUUUGUGUCAUUUUUCUUUUUUUUUUUUUUUUUUUCUUUUAACUCUUUCGAUCUGAACUUGUGUCGUUUUCACUUUUUUGGGUUUAUUUUUCUCGGUGAGAUUUUUAAAAAAGAAAAGGAGGAUUUAUAUUUUUUUUUUCUUAAUUUGCAUUUUUCAAUGAUAAACUUCAAGUUAAUUUAUCAAGUUGAACUCUCGUGAUGAUAACUAAAUAAGAGUUUAAUUUAGAUUUCUUUGCACCAGUACCUAGAGAUGGGAGCGGAAUGAAUAUUUUAGAUCACUCAUAUAAAAAUCCGUUUAAUAAAAAUAUGAAUAAUUAUAAAUGAGUUCAGAAUGAAUAGUGAAUUAUCAGUAGUAAAUACAAAUAGGAUACAGGCAUAAAUCUAGUUAUCCACUACUCAUUAUCCGUGAUAUUAAACAAAUUAUUAGUUGUGAGCAUAACCCAGUUUCUGAGGCAAGCUAACAGGGUCGGUUCAAACCGGAACUGUAUCAUAAAGGGGAUUGAAAUCAACUUAAAAAUGGCUCAGAUUUGAAUUAGUUUCAAUUUCAAUAUUUGAAAGUACAAUCACUUGGUUUUGAAUCAAAAUCAAAAUUGAACCAACUAGUUUGAAACUGAUAUCAGUUUUAUUUCUAAAAUUUUUGAACAAUUAAUUUAUGAAUGGGUCGAUCAUGCUUUUUUUUUUUUUAAAGAUAAAGAAUAAUUUCAUUUCAUAUCAUAGAAAGAAACUAAAUAGCUUGAAAUUAUAUUCCAAACUUGAAGACAAUCAUAUUUAUAGGAAGCUCGUAUUAAUGAAUGAGUUCGAAUUAAAUUGCCUUCUGAUUCAUCUAAUGGGUCUUUUAGGAUUAAAACUCAAUUCAACUCUUUUCUUUUUUAUUUUUAGCCCAAUUACCAUUUUUAAAUCAUCAGAUUCAACUCUCAAAUCAAAAAAUUAAAAGCUUUAUUCUAGAUAAUAUUUAGGCGAAAUUUUUAUAAUAUCAAAAAAUAACUAUACCAAACUCUUAAUAUUUUCAAAUAUAUAAAACUCUAAUUAAAUAUUUUCUUUAUGUUUCCGCUUUCUAACAAAGCUAAAAAUAUUUUUUUACCUUUUUUCUUUAAUUUUUCUGUUGUCAACCUAAAUCUACAUCUUCUAAUUCUAUCUCUCUAUCAUUUUUUAAAAUUAAUUAUUCUCUAUUUUUUCCAAGUUACACGUUAAAUAUAUCAAGUUAAUUUUUUUUUUGAAAUAGUUAUAUUUCAAUUAGUCAUUAUGUAGAUUACAAUAACGAACAAUUAUAUAAAUGCAAACUUUACUAUAUAAGAUUUGGGAAAAAAAAAUAUAAGAAAAAUUGUUCAAUUAUUAUUGUUAUCACCACUUAAAAUUUACAAUUUAGAAUAGUGGACGAAAUAAAAUUUAUUAUAUUGAAAUUUGAGAAUUAAAUUUACCUAUCUCGACUUAAUUUUCUGGCUUCACCUCUGCCAUAUAUUUAAUUAGCUAUUACUUCUGGACCCUAAUGUCUAGUCACACAUAAUUCAUGGGAUAGUCCCACCCAAUUCACAUGAAUGACAUCAAAGCGGAAGUCUUUACUUUUUUUUUUUUUUUCUUUUUUUUGAAAAACGUUCAUCUCUGGCUUACUGAUUUUAGAUACUAAAACAUUUAUCUUAAAGCUAUAAUAAAGAUUUAGUAAUUUAGGAAAAAAUUUAAAAUAAAGAGACAAGAAAGCUAGUACAGAAAAGGAAAUUACGUGCCAAAAGGUAAAGAAAUGGUGAGUUGGUUUGAUGAGAACCAUGAAUUAACAAUAUUUUUAAAUAUUUUUUGCCAAUUUUGCGGCUAAUAAUGGCCACAUGAUUUCUGCAGCCGCACAUCACAUGGGAUCUUAAUUCUUAAAUCAGAUUCAGGAGUAUAUAAAUGUUUUGCCGGUUCUUUACUUUUCACCUUUGUGUUGUAAAUACUUCCUAUCUAUUGAUAGCUAUAUGUAACUAUCCAAAUUUUAGUUUUUUUUUAUUAAUUUUUAACCACAAAAUAUAAAUUUUUUAAUAAUUGUUUUUAUUUUAUUUUUUUUAUAGUGAAUAGUUAGAAAUAUUUUUGUUUUUUUAAAAAACAUUUUAUUAAUGUGUUCAACCAUAGAUGGAACAGGUAAGUCAUUCUCAACGGAAAAUAUGAUAUUAAUUACUUGUCUUAAAAAUGUAGGGCUAUGGGAUGACAGAGGCAGGGCCAGUUCUAUCAAUGGGCUUGGGGUUUGCAAAGCAGCCAAUCCCAGCUAAGUCAGGCUCAUGUGGAACUGUGGUUAGAAAUGCAGAGCUCAAAGUUAUUGACCCUGAAACUGGUUCAUCUCUUGGCUACAACCAGCGUGGUGAAAUUUGCAUACGUGGACAACAAAUUAUGAAAGGUUCAUACAGAUAUAUACGUAUAUUUUGUUAUUUUUAAAAUUUUUUUAUUAAUUUAAGCUUUAAUAUACUUUUAACUCUAGUUCUUAAUCAUAAUUAUUAUUUGUUAAUUGAUAAAUUAAAAUAAUUUAUUAGGAUAUUUGGAUGAUCCUGAGGCCACAGCCAACACAAUUGAUGUUGAAGGUUGGCUUCAUACUGGUGACAUUGGUUAUGUGGAUGAUGAUGAUGAGAUUUUCAUUGUUGAUCGAGUCAAAGAAAUCAUCAAAUUCAAAGGCUUUCAGGCAUCUUCCCUACUAAUUUCUAUCUUUAUUUAUUUAUUUUUCUUGUCAAGAAAGAAAAAUUUUUACCUAAAAAUUAAUUUUUUUUUAAUAUUUUGUUCUGAACUUUUGUGUUCAGGUUCCACCAGCAGAGCUCGAGGCCCUCCUUGUCAUCCAUCCAUCAAUCUCAGAUGCAGCUGUCGUUCCGUGAGUUUCAGCUUUAGUAGCAAAGAUUGCUUCUUUUUUUCUUUUUUUUUUUUGAAAAGGAGCAAAGCUUGCUAAUACCAUAAUUAAAACAUAAUUAUAUUCAAACUAAGGCCUUUAUUAUUAUUAUUAUUAUUAUUGUGUAUUAUCGUGGAUGUGUUUGUUAAUUAUUAGGCAAAAAGAUGAAGGUGCUGGUGAAGUUCCUGUUGCAUUUGUGGUUCGAUCUAAUUCUAAUGGGCUCGAGCUCACUGAAGAAGCUGUAAAAGAAUACAUAUCAAAGCAGGUAACUGGAAAACAGAAUAUAAAUUCAUGUUUAGAAGAGAUUUUUGCAUUUGCUUUCCAUUAUGAUUGGAUUACUUUUGAUAAACUCUAUUUGCAAUAUUUAAAGUUUAGCAAAUAUAUAGAAGUAGAUCUGUAAAGUAAUUGUAUUUGUGCUUCAAACAGGUUGUGUUCUACAAGAGACUGCACAAAGUGUACUUUGUGCAUGCAAUUCCCAAGUCUCCCUCUGGAAAAAUAUUGAGAAAGGGCCUAAAAGCAAAGCUAGCCGCAGCCUCUCCAUUGUCUUAGAAUCCUUUCUGUUAUUUCAACUUCUCUUAGGCAUUAUAUUUAAUGUCUCCAUGGAAUAUGGAAGAGAAAUCAUCUUCUUCUAAAUUAUGUUUUUUUUUUUUUUUUUUUUUUCUUGCAUGAAUCUAAUGAAUUUUUCUUUCAUGUGAAUCAAAAGCUCAAACUUUCUUUUUAAUUAUAUAUAUAUAUAUAUAGAUGCAAUUGGGUUAAAGAAAAAUGCAAGGAAAUCUGAUAAAAGUGUAGACUUCCAUAUAUAUAUCCAAGCCCUAUUUUAGUUUAGGAGAGAUUUUAAGAAGCUAUAGAAAUUCACUUGUGAUUUGGAUUAAUAGCAAUAAACCAUAUAGAAUUUCAUUGGAAUUUAUGAAUUAUUUUGCUCAAAACUCUAAUUUAGUUCUUAAUUUUAAAAUUAUGAAUUAGUUGUCAUACUCUAGUUCUUGAGAUCUGAAAUUUAGAAUACGCAUUAAUUUUUAAUAUUUUAAAAUUUAUUGCACCUUUCAAUGAUUAAAAUUCAAGAUAUUUUAAUCCCUCAAGAUUUUGUAUUUUUUUUUAAGACUAUAAUUGUUAAGAUUUUUUUUUUUUUUUUUUGGUAAUUAAUCCUACUACGAUCAAUUUCAUGGUCUCACUUUGUAAAUGAAUUUUAUAAAUUCAUUAAUACGAAUAAUUAAAUCCAUAAUUAACAGGGUGAUGUCAUAGUAGCAAUUUGAGGCUGUCAAAUGAUUUAUAGUUGUUACUUUAAUAUCUCAAAUUAAUUUUUAUUAUCCUUCUGGAGAGAAUUCCAAGAUUAGUUAAAUAAUCCCUUUGCAUAACACUUCCCAUUUGUAAAUCAUGCGCAAAAGCAGGAGGAUGCAAUUGUCAUCUGCUCCAGUAAGGUAGUAGUAUGCUAGAGGAUUCCCUUGCUAUGCUAGAGUAUUCUUCUUUACACCCGGUUGUGGAUUGUAAACGAGCUAAGUCUGUUGGCAAAUGAAAAGUUUCAAAAAAAUUGACUUUAAUCAAGUUCGAGCUUAAUGAUAGCUCAAAAACUAUCGAUACUUAUUGAGCUCUAUCAGCCUUUAUAUAUAUAUAUAUAUAUAUACAGAUUACAACGAAUAUUAAUUAAUGGAGUCGAACAAAAUUAUAUUGAACGAAAAGUGACUUUCUUUUAUAUAUAUAUAUAUAUAUAUAUAUAUAUAUUUAUUUAAACUUAUUUGAGCAUCCAGCAUUAAGUCCUUGAGCCAAGCUUGAAUUUAAAAUUUUUCGAAUUGAACUAGAGCCUCAAGUAGAGCUUGAGCCUAAAAUUUUCAGACUCGUCGAGUUUUGAGCUGAGCUUCAAGCUUGGCUGGUUCAAACUCUACUCGGCUCAUUUACAUCCUAUUUACAACCCACACUAGCACUUCAGGAUAAUCCUAAGGAAAUUUCCCAAGGAUAGAGAAAGACCUUCAUAGGAAAACCUCUAUUGAAUGCCGUUUCUAGAGAGCCUUCACCAUGACGACUGAGUCGAGAUUCAUGACAAGGUGAAUAGGAACACCCUAACCAUCAAACAAUCAAAAUUACCACUGACUACAUCUUUCUUCAGUAAAACAAGGAAACAACAUAGCUUAAGGCAAAGACCAGAAGGUAAGAACAUUGAAUACUAAUAAAGCAGGAUAUUGAUCAUGUCAAACACUUUAUUCUGUUGAUACUGAACACAUUAUAAUAUCUUCAGUACAAGGAUUUAUCAAUUGAAAGCGCAAAACGAUUGAAACAAGAAAAUGUAAAUGCGCAUCGACUGCCUGAUAACAAGCAUCAUGUGCGAAUGAUUAACAGUACAAGUAAGAUACCGAAAUUCCUAGUGAUGAUGAUCUUGGACGUAGCGUAGACCACAAUACUUACAAACGGCUGGCUCCUUUAAGUCAAGGCAUAUGAACUCAAUUGGAUGCCCAAGUGCAGGGUUAGUGUCUGCAACAAGAAACAAUAAACAACAAUGACAAUGUUAAUCCUGAUUAUCCUUUUUAUGUCUUUUGGAGAAAAUACCUUGAACAAAUGAACAACUAACCUCCCUCGCAUGCAACAAUCCUGCCUUCAACCUUGAUGGGGGGAAUUUCAUUGAUCAACUCCAUUGGAGAUUUCUUGGUAGUAUCCUAAGUAAAAAAGUAAUUUUGGUUAUUUGAGUCACUUCUUUAGAUCAGACAUCCCCAACCAACAAUUUAAAUGAAAUUGACCCAAACAUCAAUUUGCAAGUAAAUCUAGUUAACGGGCAGAAUGACAAUAGUAUAACAACAGCAGAUGCGGUAACUGCCGCACAAAGUCACUGGUGUAGCAAUCAAAGGCCAUAACGCCAUAAGCAUAAACCACAAAAUCAUAAAACAAGAGUAAACUCACUUACUAACCAGUAACUUACUUUAAAAAUAAAGGGAAAAAGAAAGAAAUGAGAUGGAAGUCUGAAUGAUAUGGAGGAUUUUCUGUAAAUAAUUAAAAUGUCAAUAAAAGAACCUGAAAAGGUGCAAGAAUACAGGAAGAAAUUAAUUUAGAAGAACUCAAUCACAAUCUAAAAUGAAAGCUUCCUUCUGGAAUAGUCAAGGGCAUCUAUUUCUUGGUAUAAAUUUCACUAGGAAUAAAUAGAAGCCCAUUACAGCAUCGCUUCUUGAAAGCAUUCUUUUCAUCUUAAAUUCUUGUAACCUAUGCUCACCUAAUCUCAAGCUACUUGAACAUCAUUAGGGAUGUAAACAAGUCAAAUUACCCGUGAGCCAUUUAGGCUAAAGCUAGCAAAAUGUUCAAAUUUGACUCAACUUGAGCAUCUCAGAAGCCCAAUCAUUAUUAAUUGCUUUUACAUAUAAUAUUUAAAUAAUAAUUCAUUACAAAGAUUACAGUAAUCUGAGCUCACUCAAAUUCAAGCUUAAAUUUGAACCUAGCCAAAAGCUUGAUUUGUUUUAAUGUUUGUCUAGUCAACUCGUAUGAAGUUCAAGUCUAAAGCUAUUCCAUAGAGUUUCUGAGUAUAUAAAAUAAACUUUCAUCAUGAACGCGUCAAGUACUAAUCCUUGAGUUGUAAAACCCAGUCAAAUUGGAAUUGUAUGCUAUAUACCUUUACAACAUCUCCAGAAAUUAUUAAUAGACCAACCAGGUAACAACCCAUUAACUUCAUCAAUAUGGAAAAACUAUAUCAACGAUGAGAUAUUUGUCAUGCUUUAUUGUCUUAGAAAACAUUAAACUGCCCUAAAAAGGAAAAUAUAAUCACAUGCAAGGAAAUAUGUUCUUCAAGGAGAGAGAGUACAAUGGCACAUAUAAUGAAACAGGAAUCAAGCAGGCAGAAAUCAGAAUAGAUUACAAUCAGGCCACAUACUGCAGCAACAAUUAAAAGAUUGGAAUAGCAAAUUGAAGCAAUGAAUAAAACUGCCCCACAAAAUGCACAAAAAAAAAAAAAAAAGCAAGUCAUUGACAGGAAUAUUAUCUGCUAACGUAAAAAUUUCAAAAAUAAGAAUGUAUGUCAUCAAUUUGAGAUCAUGGCUCCAUGACAUAAGCUGAAUGCUAAGCUAUGACACACAGGGUACUCACUCAGCUGAAAUAGGCUUAAUAAUUGAAUACACAACACUAGCAUUGACUUAUCUCUAACACCCAUAGGAACAGUUAUAUUAGAACUUAUUCUCCACUAACUAAAGGGAGAGCAGCUUUAUAAGGGCGCUAAGCAUUUUCAUCAAGAAGAAAGGACAAUUAUAUUUGAAAUUCACAAACAAAGACAAGUGUAAAAAUGUCUGAGAAUAUGGCCUUUUGCAAGUCGCUAAGCGAACACCCUGAAUAAGUGAUUUUCUUGCUUGAUAAUAUCUUGUGUAUGUAUAUUUUUUUUUUCCUCUAGGAAAAAUGGCAAUAUGUGAACCUAAAGGCUAAACUCCAAACCAACCAUACAGGCUACAAGUGUCAAGCUAAAAGCCACAAACAACAGAAAUUUCACAGCCAUUAAAUUGGAAAAGAAGAAAAUAUUGUUUCACUCCAGCAUAAAGCAGUUUAUUAAAAUUCAACUGCUAAGAGUUUAAACCUCUGUCCAAGAAAUGAGAAAUAAAUAAAAUUCUCCCACCCAUGGCUGUCAAAAAAAUCUACAAGACACAUUUUUUCCCAACAAGCUAAAAUGCUUUGCCGUGACAUUAAAAAUUUCAUAUAGAAUUUCCAUAUAUGUAAUCAGUUUGACCUAUAUGCAAGUUAAAGACAAAAUAUUUCGUUGUUGAAUGGAUGGGAUUUCUAUAUAUAAAAAAAAAAAAAAAAAAAAAAAAAAAAAAAAAAAAAAAAAAAAAUUUUUUCAGUCAGCAAGACCCCUAACCGAUUCGUUUUACUUGAGCUUUACACGAAAAAUUUUCUUUACUGCGCCACAAUAGCCUUAGCAACGAAAUGAAAUGAUUACCAACUAAAAAACUUUCAUGAUCGAUUCAAAUAUCUGAGGACAACUCAAAUUAGAUCAACUACACCACAAUCUCCCAGCUCUCGCCCGUGAAACCAAAAUUUCAACAGUUUUAAAAUACCUAACAACAUUACUCGAUUCUACCAUUUCCAAAUUUCCAAGUGGCAAAGUUCUUUUCUUAUCAAAAAGAAUCAAUUAAGCAGGCAGAAAAAAGGUACCUGCAUCCAUUUGGCUGUGUGGUUGCUGAUUUGACUGGUAACAAGGCUGAAAUUUCUGGUGCUCUGUCUCAAAUUGGACGAUCUCGUUAGGGUUCUCAACAAACUCGACGCCAUUGUUGAUACCUGCAAUUUUAGAGAGGUUUUUAAUUUAGAACAGAAAUGGUCACCUUAUAGAUUUGCAUGGACCAAGCGGAUUGAGGCCCAUUAAUGCAAAGGCCCAUUAAAAGAAUAGGAUUCUUUACAAUCCCAUAGAAAAUGAUUUAUUUUUCUUAAUUAUAAAUUUAGUGUUUAAAUUUUAGAAAAAUUUAUAUUUCAAUAUUUCAAUGGAAAAUAUUUACAAUCAAGUGUCAGAAUCGAUAAAUUUUUUUCAAUUAAAUGUUUCAAUUAAAUGUCUCCAUCUAUGUGGCUUGCUAAAAAUAUAAAUAGAACGUAUGAGACCAUUAAUUAUUAAAAAUAACACUGUGUAGGAUUUCAAAUAGCUUGACACGUCAAAUCUGACGUUUCAAGCAGUGUAUCAAACCAGUAUUGCUUAAUUAAAACGAAUCGAAUUAAAAAUCAUCUACAAUCCUCUACGUGCUUCUUCCUUCAAGCGAUCUCUGAUCGCUCUUCAUUCUACAUGAACCCCAGCCCGCUCCCGAUUGCUAGCGCCACCAUCACCAGCUAAGCAAUAAGGGACUACCACCUCCGGUCAUUUUUUGUGACCCAAAAAUGAAAAUAAAGUACACCACAAGGAUUCUCCUCAAAUAGAGACAUAGUCAUAUACGAAAAUCAUGAUCUAACAACUGAUUUGUGUACCAAUUAAUCCAAUUAAAAAAAAUUCUUCUAGAAUUCUUUGAGAAUUUUUAUUGAAUACAAAGUGAACCAGCAACAAAUAACUUUAUUAAAAGUCACUAACUUGAAGAAACCCCCUAUACAAAUGUAACAAAUAGAAUAACCACCGUAGUAAACACCAAAUGAACUAAGUCAACAAAUGAAUCAUAUUAAAAUUGGAAAAAAAAUAAUAAGAAGAACAGAGUACAAGUAGUUCUCUUUAAUGUGAUUAUAAGACUGCAGUGAUAUUACCGAUCCGAAGAUAAUAUAAAUUGAAAGAAGAAGAGAUUACUAAGAGAGAAAAGAGCGAGUGGAUCUAAGAAAUGAGUGAUUUUAUUUUUGUCGUUUGGCCCUCUUUUCGACAUCGAAGGGGAGUGGAAUGGCGUGGGACAUUCUGCCGGAGUUUAUAAAACCUCUCCAGUCAUCAUCGUCAUUACCAGAAGCCGAAUCUUGACCAUUAACAAAAGUGAUAUUGGAAUGAAUGGUCGAAUUCGAUGGCGCGACCCAAAACUGUUUGCAAAGAUUGGUAUAAGAGGAAGGGUAAGGCCGUUUUUGACUCACCUAGUGCACUAAAACUCGCCGGCGGAGGCAUUGGUGGCAGGAGUUAAGAACUGCCCUCCUCUAGCUUGUCCUUUCACGCAAUAGAGGGUCAAAGGAAGAAUCACUUUGGGUCACGAAAAGUGACCGGAGGUGGUGGUCCUUAUUGCUUGGCCCGUGAUGGUGGCACUAGUAAUCGGGAGCGGGCUGAGGUUCAUGGAGAAUAAAGAGCAAUCAGAGAUCGCUUGAAGGAAGAAGAACGUAGAGGAUUUUAGAUGAUUUUUAAUUCGAUUAGUAUUAAUUAAGCAAUACUGGUUUGAUACCCUGCUUGACACAUCAAGCUAUUUGGCGUCCUACGGAAUGUUAUUUUUAAUAAUGGCGUCCUACAUAAUGUUAUUUUUAAUAAUUAGUGAAUUCCUCGUGUCCUAUUCAUAUUUCCGACAGAAAAAACAUUAUCUAUUCCAACAUUUAAUUACAACAUUAUCUAUUCCAAUACUUGAUUACAAACAUUUUUUAUGGAGACACUGAAAUAGAAAAUUUUAGAAAGCUAAACACUAAAUUUAUAAUUAACCCUCUUUUUUUUAGAAGGAAAAUGAUUUUAUUAUUUCAAAAUAAUAAAAGAUCUCUUCUAUUGCAAACAGUACGAAUAUAAAUAAUGAUUUUUUAAUCUUUUUUUUGUGAAGAAAAAAAUUAAAUUCAUCAAAAAAUAAAAAUAUUUUGAAGAAAUAUUAAAUUCAAUCAGCCCAAAUUCAAAUUUUCUGUUUGAUUGAAUAAAUUUUAAAUAAUUAAGGAAUCAUUUUACAUGUUAACAAGCCGCAUGAAAUUAUUGACUUGUCGUUCGACGAUAGCUGAUAUGCUGCAAUGGAUAGUUAUCUGAGUUCACGUAUUCCCCCAAUGAGAAGCCCUUCUUGAUAUUCCAUUUAUGGAUUUUUUAGAAUGUUCGAAGUUUACACGAACUGUCGUUCGACUACCGUGAUAUGCCUCACUUAUCGUCUACUGUUUAAGUUGCAUUUUCCCACGAGUUAAACGACACCUCUUUACCGAUAUUUUCUCCAUGUAAGGGCACUUUUAGAAGUGCUGACUUGCUAAAAGUGACUUGCAGUUUCAAGGAUAUCUCAACAUCUCAUAUCCUAGAUCGCUGUGCCGUAUUGCUGUUUACUCCACACUGUUCAAUUUUCGCAUGGACGUAAACUAGUUUACUCGGCCAUCACCGAAAAGCAUUUCAUACCCAUCUUUGCAGCAGGAUUCAUCUUCAAACACUGGAGAAGCUCUUUACUGCGUGUUGCCUCUUGCAUGCGAUCACCUAGCAUUUCUUCAUAUGUUAGAUACUCAUAUUUUAGAUCCAAUUUCGAGGUUAUCUAGGAAUGGGAUCUUCAAAUUGUUCAUGGAUCGCAAAAGAACUUCAGCCAUGGGUUUCUUUCCAGCAGAUUUGUACAAAUGUAUGGCAGCACUCAUAAUAAAUCGGUCAGGCUCCGCAUGCUCCCUUAUCCGCUCAAAAAAGUUUAUGCCUUUCUCAACAUGUCCAUAGUCCAUGUAACCUCUCAGCAUAGUUCGGUGACAUCCAAGAUCAGGACUUAAACCAGUUGUCAAUAGUUUCUGGUAAACCCUUUCUGCUUCUGCCAGAAGACCAGCUUUUGCGUAAGCAGAAAGUAAGUGGUUAAAAUGACUACAUGAAGGCGAAAUGCCUUUCUUCUUCAUAACAUUGAUGGUUUCCUCUGCUUCCAAGUAUUUCAAACUCUCUGUAUAAGCUUGUACAAGGGAGAGGUAUGUGAAGGAGUCCGGAGGCCAGCCAUCUUUCUGCAUGGCUAGGAAAAGUUCCUCUACUUCACGAUAAAGUCCUGCUACGGCGUACACAUUGAUCAUAAUAUUGUAGCUAACCUGCAUUUUCCAUGUGAAGAUCGGGUGGUAAGAGCUUUUGUUAUUUGAAAAAAAAAAAAUUCUCAUGGUGAAAGAUGAAAAGCUAGAAUGAUUGAUUAUUCUCGCAUUUUGGGGUAGAAAUUCACCCCUCAAAAUGAGUUGUUGAGAUGACUGAACUAGUCACUAAAAUCAACAGUAUAAGUCAAAAGAUGUAAUUCUUGUAAAACUACUCAGUCCAAUGACAAAGUAUAAAGUUUUGUAUCUGAGAGAGAGAGAGAGAGAGAGAGAUGGAGAUAAAAAUUUCAUUUCGUGUGCGACCAUAUACUAUGCAACCUAUAAAGUAUAAAGUUUUGUAGUACAUUUAUGAACAUACCUUUCCUGGUUUUAUCCCUUCUUCCUGCAUUUUGGUGAACAGAACAGAUGCUUCAUGCCUCUUACCUUCAAAGUAGACAAAAAUUGCCAGGUUAUGUUAAUACCUUGAGCAAUGAAGAAAGGAAUGCCUUACAAACCUCAGUACUAAAGUAAAACAAAAUAUACCAAUUUUAAAAGGAAGCGAAUCUGCCACCUCAUAAAAACAUUUAAUGCUAUAUUGGGAACAUAUAUAGUAUAUGCCAAGUUUAUGAUUUAUCUUUCACACUAAAAGCGUACACAAAUCUCCUAUAGGAAGUGAAAUUCGUUGAUGCUUUUUUGUGCUAAACAUGAACUAAGCCAAAAUAGCAAGAAAUUGUGUACUUUAAGUGCAAUGAUAUUUGUUUUAAAAAUUCAAAGCAAUGAUGAAAAGAAAAGAUAUCAUUAUUUGAGGUAUGCAAAAAAAAAAAAAAAAAAGAUAUUAUAGGACCUUAAGAAAUUCUAAUACAUAUUCAAAAGAUCUCGCAAUGGAGGAAGAGGUGAGUUAGUACCAGCCUUGCCAUAAUAGCUAAUUAUAUUCAUGUAUGUCUUCUCAUCCAGGGACAGACCCAAGCUGCAAGCAGUGUUAAACAUCUCGACAGCCUUAUCCAGCUUCUGACCUCGUCCAUAGACACUGCAUUAAUAAUUAAUUUUAUAAAAGCUGAAGCCCCAAAUAACAAAAAUAAGAUAUACAAAUGUGAUUAGUUGUUUCUUUUCAUAAAGUUGCUGUCACCUAAUCAUAGUGUUGUAUGUCUGAAUUGAUGGACUGACUCCAAAGGAAAGCAGGCGUUCAUAGAUGCUGGCUGCAAAAUGCAAUCUACCUGCAACAUCACUUCUACAGAUCAAUGCAUACUUUAUUCUGUACUUAUCUUCAAAAUUAAUGAGAUCAUCUGUAUCAACCUGCUUUUAGCAUUGCCUUAAUAAAAAUGUUGUAUGCCACAGUAUCAAGCUCCAUAUUAUCCUGAAUACUCUUACGGAUAAUCCUCUCUGCUUCUUGAUGUUUGCCUGGAAAUGGAAUAAUCUUGUCACCAAUCAAAAUUGCCCUAAAGUUAGUAGCAUUGCCAACUACACACAAGCAUGCCCAUCAUGACUGCCUUUUUAUAAAAUCACCAACUAGGCUGAGAUGGAAAAUUUUAACUUCGGAAACUAAAUUGUUGUCAGCAACAGAAGUGUCAUGAGGACAAAUCAUUUGAAAGCUUGAAAGAGUAACUAUAUUGGAUCUGAAAAUAUAGAAGCUAACAAAAAAUGUCGUUGGAUCUGAAUAACUACCAAAGAAUAUACGACAAUAAAUCUACUAGUUUAACUAGAGUUAGUCCUACCAGAAUUAGUCAAUGAAUUCACAAGUAUGCCAACGCCAACAGCACCUAAGUCGUGCCCUUUAUCAGUUACUUCUUUAUAAAGCAAGUAUGCAUCCUCAGAUUUACCACAUUUAGCAUAUGCGUCAAUCAUUGAAUUAAAUAUUGAUUUUCCACAAGUUGGGGAAUCUGCAGCUGCUGCAAAGACCUCUUGAGCCUGCUUUAGCUUUUGCCUUUUACCACAUAAAUUAAUCAAUGAAGAAAUUACUUCAUCCUCUAAUCUCCAGCCCAGCUUGGUUACUUGAGCAUUAACAGCCCCUGCCUUACAUGUAUCACCUAAGCAGAAGACGAUAUGUUAGUCCUAAAAGACAUCAAAGAGUUAUAAAAACAAAUAAAACUCUUAUGCAGAGAUGCAGAAAUAAAUAACACUGUCAAUCAUAAAAUGUGAAAAUGAACAUUUCAUACCUUCCCUGAUGAAGUUGUUAACUACUUGACUCACUAUAGACAAACCACCGCCAGUCCCAAGUAACAACUUCAGGAUUUCUUGUAUCUUAUUGAAGUCGCCGUGUCUAAAAUACAAAGUAAUGAUAAGCCCAAGAGCCGUAGUGUUGGCUUGAUCAAAGACCGAGAAGUAUUCACAAUCCUUGUUUUCUCCAUGCAUUAUCUUACAGAAUGUCUGGAAAAAUCUACUCUCUCUGAAUGAUACAUUUGUGCCCAUCUCUUUUGUCAGCAGUUCAGCUUCUCUUAGCAUGCCCUCCUCGCAAAGUACUUUAAUAACUGUCCUAUAAAGCUCCUCAUCAAAAUCUACUUGAUCUUUUCUUAUUUGGAUGAUAAAGUCCUUAGCUUUUUCAGUCAUCUGCAAGCUCAGAUACAAAUUGAGCAUGUCAUUGCAAGAGCCAGCAUCAGGAAGUCCAGUCUUUGAUAAAGCAUGAAAAGUACUUUCAGCAGAGUCCAGAUCUUCUUUCAUAACAUAGCAUUGCAACAGAACAAUAUAAGCAAAUCUUGAUAACCAAAUAUUUCUAGACUUCAUCACUUCAAUCACACUCAAAGCUUUCUCAAAAUUUCCUGAAUUAAGAUGCACUUGUGCCAUGGCUAAAUAUGUUUUCUCAUCACUUAACAAACCCAGUUGCUCAGUCUCUUCAAACGUUCUUUGGGCAUCCUCAUACAGGCCAAGUUUCCCAUAUAUUCUAAUGAGCAACCCAUAGAUGACUUCAUCAGCCGCAAUUUUCUUGCUCUGCAUUUCUGUAAAGAGAGAAAGGGCUUUAGAAUAAUCCGCUUUUUUAUAAUACAUGGUCAGCAGUGAUGCACAUGUGAAAUUACUAGGAACUAUUCCAUGAGAUUGCAUUUCCUCAUAUAAUCUCCCUGCUUCAUCCCAGUUAAAAUUUCUAAUACUAAUAGUAAUAAGCAAGCUAUAUGUCACUUCCUCAGGAACAUGCCCACCGUUCUUCAUUUCAUUAAACAACUUAAAAGCCUCAUCAUGAAAACCUUUCUUGACAAGUGAACUGAUAAUCACAGUAUAAGUAAAACUAUUUGGUGUCACCCUUUUAUCCACCAUUUUCCUCCAUAAUUCUAUGACCCUGCCAUGAAGAGAUUUCUUCUGCAGAGAGGACAGCAUAAAGUUGUAAACUGAAACUGAGAGUAUAAUUCCCCUUUCUUGUAUAGCAGAAUAAAAUGAAGACAUAGCUUUAUGUCGACCCCAUCUUGCAUAUGAACACAACAUAGUACCACAAGCAACUUCAUCAGGUUCACAUCCCACUUCAAGCAUCUCCAAGAAUGUCUGUUCAGCCAACUUGAUUUUACCAACUUGCCCAUACAUUCGUAAAACAAUUGUGUAGACUAUGACACUUGGCCGAUAGCAUAACUGUUAGAGCACAGUUCUGUCAUGUUCACAAAACUAAUUUCUAAGAAAAAGAGAAUCAAGUUUUAGUCAAGCAAAAAAUAAAUAAAAAAAAUCAAUUGCUUUGCAGCACACUAAGGGUUAAAAGAAGUCUAAAAUAAACACUCAUUAGAAGCUAACAACCAAAUUCCAUAUGAAGUUCACCAAUAUAAAUUUAUACACUUAUCUGAAGACAAGUAAAUUAAUUCAUUUUAACAAAAUAUAAAGUCGGUACUAAAAAGGGCGUGUAGCUAUCCACUGUAAACCCACCAGAAACCAAAUACAAACAUCUCAAAGUAUGAAUUUUCCAGCCAAGUCCCUGAAUUAUAACUACCACAUACAAAACAAUAAAGCUAUUAAGAUUGAGCAAUAUGCAUAUAUAUAAGUAUCCACAGGAGGGGGAAAAAAAGAUAUAAUACACAAUAAUUAAAGGAAUUCAAAAUUAGAGAAUAUACUUGCAAUUUCAUCCAGGCAAAGAAGUCUCUAGCCUCCCUCCAUCCUUUCUGCUCCUUCAGAACAACACACAUCUCUUGAAAAGUUAACUUCCCUACAAACCCACUCAUUAGUAACCUCACAUUUCUCUCCUCUUCUCUCUUCCUAGCCAUCCCCCUCACUGUCUUUAUGGCUGCAACCACAUGCUUUCCAUAAAGAUGCCCAUUCUUAUUAUCCUCCAAGUACUUCACCAUCUGUUCGGGCGUUCUCUUUAUCCAUUUGGGCGUCUGGGCGUGUGGACCCUGGUGUUUCCGCAGCAAGCUUAAGUAUUGCGCUUUAGCUUUGAUUAUGCGCCUUGCGUUGUCGUCUGAUAAGGGUUUCUUUGGGUUUUUUGAUCUGGGUUUGGGUUUAGAAAUGUUACCGUCGCUUAAAGACCAGGGGUCUGAAUGAAUUGAAGACUUGAUGGAGGUUUUGUAGUUUGCUUUAACUGGUCUGUGAGAUUUUGGUUUUGGUUUGAGAGGUGGAGGAAGGAAGGAGGACUUGAGGAUGAUGGAGUCCAUUUCUUUUCUUUCUCGCCGUUUCGUGGGAAAUUUGGGAGUUUCGCGCAAGUUUUUGAAUUGAAAGAAGGAGCUGGAUGUAGCGAUUUUGCAGUGACAGGAUUUGCAGAAUACAAGAUAAACUUUUGUUUUCAGUUUUAAUUAUUUGGAUAUUUUUUGUUCAUAGGAAGUGGACAUGGGCUUGACACUCAAGUCUACCCUUGACCUUUCGUCCUGUUUUUAUUUAUUAUAAGUAGUUUUUGCCGAUUAGUUUUUAUCACAAUAUAAUUCAUUUUCAGGAUUUUAAAAAAUAAUAAAUAAUAUUUUUUAAUAUUAUUUUUAUAUAAUAACUCCUCAAUUAUUGUUAUUGAGAUAAAAGACAAUUUGAUCAAAUUAUGAUUAAAUUAUCCUUGAAUUUGUUAUAAUUUAAAAGUAUUAAUUGCUUCUUUAAUUAUUGUACAAGUAUUUUGAAAUAAAUAUCUCAAAACAUAGGGAGUAAGUUAUAUUCAUUCUACCCCAUAUAUAUAGAUUCACUUUUCUUUUUCAUUUAUCCAAAAAUGUAAACCUAUUUCCUUUUUCUUUUUUUAAAAUAUCAUUUAUUAUCUAAUUUCUUAACAUAUCCCUAGUCAAUGUACAUUUUACAUUUACAAUUGAUAUGCAUCAUUUAUAUUAUAAAGAAAUAUCUUGAGAAAAAAAAAAACCAAACAAAAGAUAUAAUUCAAUUAUAUUAAUUAGUUUUUCUUAAUCUAUGUGAAAAGCUAAUUAGUUUUUAUUAGUCUAUAUGAAAAUCAAAAGAGGGCUAUAUAUAUAGAAUAGAGGAAAUUUGAAGUUCUGAUUAAAUGCUUUUAUCAUUGUAAUUGUCGAUGGUCAUUCAUUAUUUUUAUCAUGAUGAAUAAAAAAAAUUAAUAUCAUAAAUUUUUAUCAUCAUACGUUAAGUUAUAUAAUAAGGUAGAAAUAAAUUAAAAUUUAGUUGAAAGAGAGUUAGGAUGGAAGUGAUUUAACUUUUCAAAAUCAUCAAUCAUAACUAUUACUUGUACAAAAUUUAUCACUACCUAACUUUAACGGAGGGCUCGUCAGAAAGUUAUGGGCUGAAAGCAAGGGAACAAAACAAUACAGACUAUUGCAUUCUUCAAUUUAUAGUCAUGCUCAUACUCUGUGCUUCUUUGGGAUAGAAGAAAAAGCUGCACUAUUAUGCACCCAAAAAAAAAAAAAAAAAAAAAAAAAAAAAAAAAAAAUUGGAAUCAACUUGCCUAUCCAUCUGCUAACAUCCUUCAUUCAUAGGCCUCGAAAUGCUAAUAAAAGAGAAGUACAAAGAAACUGUGCAUGCAGUAUAUGAAUAUUUGUUAAAGAAAUACAUAGAAACUGUGUACAUGAAUAUUUCUUGUACAGAGCAUAAGGGCAAGCAGCUAACUAAGAUAACAAAUAUAACCAUCUUUUGCUACCUCUUAACACAGAUGCAUCACACAUUGGGCUUACUACCUCCUAAACAUACCCGAAUUUUGAAGUGUUCGGCUAUACUCAGCAAUGAUGGCAGAGCUUUUAACUAGUUCCCAUAUCUUCGCAGAAUUUUUCAGCCAGUCCCGUUCUGAGACCGUCUUUGCAAAGGAAGGGCAGUCCAUAGAUAAAACCUGAAGGGAAAAAGAGUAUAAAACUGAGAAUUUCAAUCUUCUGUCAUAUGCCAUGACCAGAAGCAUGAUAAUCAAAUAGCUAAAACAUUAUAUACACUUUAUUGUAAUAAAAGAGAGAGAUAGAGACAGACCUCAUCUCGCAGUUUCCAUAGUGCAGAGAUGAAACUCUCGUGUUGAGGUCUUGGCAAGUCAUCUCUGUUGUUAGAUGGGAUUAAAAAUAAAUUCAGAGGUGAAAAAUGAACAUCAUUACACCGAGUAGUAGAAGCCACGGAAGACGAGAGAUCUUCUUUUCCCUUGUUUUUGCCUUUCUCUCUCACAAAUGAAGAUGAGCUGAAGUACAGUGCGAGUGCCUUCUUCAGUUGCAUUGAGGUAAUUGGAGUAAAAUCUUGAUCAUGCAAUCUACAAUCAGAAAGAGAUUAAUAAAUGAGCUUAACUGCAUAUAGUAGGAAUGAGAAACACGGCCGCAUCUUUAAUUAGUUCUGAAGUACAAAUUUUAAGCAAUCAGCCAAUAACUUACUGCACCUACAAUUCUAUAAAACAAAUGUCACAAAAUACAGUAAGUUACCAACAAGCAGUUACAUAUGACUAACACCAGUAAUAAAAGAUUAUGCCAACAUAUUAAAUUGAUCAUUCAUUUGCCUCACAAACUUAUUUAGAAUACAAGUGCCAUUUUAUAAGUAUAAAAAUCAUCACAUGGAUCUUGUAAAUAUUAAAUCUAUUGAAAUUGUUCGCAAAUAACAGCUCCACCAUUUUGUAGUGGCUCCAGCCUUCAGAACACAUCAGCGCAAUCACAUUAACAUGCAGUAAUGACCAUGUGCGGAUGUGAUUCCACAAUGUCUACAUAUCAUUUAAUUGCAAUUAUAACAUUGCAAAACUACAAUAGCAACAGAAAACAAAUUGACUUCAUUAAUCCAGUGCAAGAGACAAUAUGAAAUUUAUACUGCAAGCCUGGAAGGAACAAAUCAUAAGCAUGUGUAUGUACAAUGUGACAAAUCAACUUUAUCAUAUAGCCAUGUGGGCCAAAUACUGAAACCAAGAAAUGGUUCUUCAUGAAACUAGCAUAUAGAGAUAAAUGCCUUGAAAAACUUGAAAACUAAUACAAUAACCACGACACACAACCCAUUUGAAGGAGGAAAAUUAAACCAUGUCUUUCGCUAAUAUUCUGUACAACUCAAUUAAAGGCUGCAAACACUAUCAAAUUGUUGCCUCCACACAAGGUAAUUAUUUAGCAUCACAGAAAAAGAUUACUUACUUCGUAUGCACAAAGACUGGAGUAGCCAUAUAUUCUUCACCUUCAAUGAUUUUAUCUUUGUUUUCUUUUUCAGGCCCGGCGUUAGAGCUCUGCAUAUGUGAAGGUGUUAACGAAGAUGGAUCAGGUAUCCCAUGUUUCAACAGGUCAACCUGCGAAUAGAAAGAAACAAUUGUAAUUUUUCCAGCCAGAAUGUCCAAGGAUGAGAGUAACAAGAAGAUCAAUAGCCAAACGAGAUGCAACAGAAACGCCUAGAAAUUAGGCAGAUUACUAGCAUAAUAACUUUCUGGUGCAAUAUGAAAUAUCACACAUUAGUGAGCAGAAGAUUAGGGUGGGAAUGAUACCGUCAACAUUAAAUGCCACAUAUCAUCAUCAUGAACUCCAUCUGAUACCACCAGCACAAUGUGACAAAUGGAUGCUAGAAGAACACCGAGCUAAAGGGAAUCCUUACAGAAGACCAUAAAUAUAUAAAUUCAUUAGACAUUCUAUGAUUGUCAAUCGAAAGAAUACCAAAAGGAGUAGGUAGAAUCAAUAUGUACAAAGAUUAUGCUCUAGUACAGAAGUAAGAUGUGCACUUUCUCUUUACUCACCUGAAUAGCCAUAAGUUCAUGAGCCAAUUCAGCAGAUAGAUUUUCACCACUUAAAACUGAAAUAGUGGACGAACCAUCAGGUCUCAUCAUCUCAGAUAGUAUAGAAGGGCUAAAAACAGGCUGCAAAUAAACAAAAAUUGUAAUAGGGGUAAAGGGAAGGAAAAAGAAAAAGAAGGGAGGGGGGGAGGNNNNNNNNNNNNNNNNNNNNNNNNNNNNNNGGGGGGGGAAUUAACAGAGAGAUAAUCAAGAAAUGUCGGGGAUAAAGGUGAGUAAUACACAUUAAAAAGGCAUGAUACCCACAAAUCUGGUGUCAAAAAAUUGGAGUGAACUAUUGUUUAUAAGCUUCGAAAGUAUGCUGCUCAAGCAUAUGUCCAGUUUUCUGUUAAAAGAAUAUAGGAAUGGAAUUUUCCAUGUUCUGUCAGGAAUUUUUUUCACAUGUUAUAGUGUGAAAGGCAACCUCAUAAAUUCAUCGUUUAGACUCAAUUGUAGAAGCACUCUCUUGGUCUUCAUGUAUUUAUUCAUUAUGUGGAAGACCUCUUUAAAGUAAUUUUAAAUGGUCAAUUAAUACUCCAAGUCAGAAUACAGUAAACCAUGUUGUUUGCAUGUCAUAAGAAAAAACAAAUCAGGUGCAUGAUUCAAAAGAGAGGUUUAUAAUCAAAACCUGGGUGUCAAGAAGUAUAAGCCUCUCAGCAGAUAUCCUUGGUUCAAUGCCUACACUGCAAUGUCUAGCCAUUGCUCUGUUAUCUUCUGUCUGUAUAGUAAAUGGCGGCAGCAUUCCUGUAUUAUAGAAUUGCAAAGUUAUCUUCGGGAAGUAGUCUUACAACAAAUAAAACAUCACAUAUGAACUCAAGCAGACAAAUAGCAUUUUGCUAUGAGAACUAAUCAGAAAAGCAUCUUAUUGCCCCUCUUUUUAAGACUGCCGUCAGAUGAAUGGUUAUAGCUUCUCACUAAAGUCACCUUAACUUGGUUUCAACUUUCUUCCACAUAACUGAAAUUGCUAGACACUCAUAUAAAAAGCAUAACAUUGCCACUUCUAUAAUCAUUCACUACCAAGAACAAAACUCUAUACUACAGUUCUUCUUCUAGUCAGGAUAAAACCCAAAAAUAUAAUUGCGAAAGAAAGGUGACUAUAAGAGAAAUGAAAAUAAAUGUUUUAGUUAAAAAUCAUACUGAAACUAAGCACCCAUAAAUUACCAAAUACAACCUAUAUAGACAAUUAACAACAAUGUGAACGUAUAAAUUCGAAAGGAAUAAGUAUCUCGCACUUAUAAUAUAAAGAAAAUACUAACCAGGUGAACUUCCAUCAAAGCCAUAAAGUUCAUUCAUGAUGGUUGAUUUGCCAACUCCAGGCGGCCCAAUCACUCCAACGACCGUGAAGUCUGUAUUCUCAGUCAGAAACUGCACAAAAUCACAAACUUUUAUCAAGCUUUAGCUUCACAAUACCCAUAUUAUUCCCCAAACAACUUUAAAAAAAAUCUCCACCAAAUUGAAGCUAAAGCGAUACAUAUAGACACAAAAGUAGCAUGAGAGUUACAGGAAGAAAACGAUCAAUGUGAAAUUCCCAGGAAUCAGAGAGGAGAUUGAGAGAGCCGAUUGCAGGUAGACGAGACCUAUGCGAUACAGUUUCAUCUUCGGCACCGGCACGGCCGAAUUUACCUACCACCGGCCCAGAAGUGACAAGACCGGGCUUUGCCAAAAGGAUUUUAGGAGCAGGAGGAGCCGGUGAGGGAUUGGAAGAACCGGUGCCGCUAGUAGAUCCUGCCAUUGAGUCGGGUUUGGACCUCGGAGCUGAUUUUCAGUUGCCCAAGCCUAGCUUCAGUUUGCACUUUGCAGUUCGUAGUUCUGACAUUAGUUGAUGAAAACCACCUCUAAAUUUUAUUUAGCUGAGCGAAUUGGGCUCGGUAAGGGUCAACAACAGCUUUGUUUGGGUUAGUUUUUUCUGGCCCAAAGCCGACAAAGCAAACUUCUUCGGUAUUAGACUUGUUUAAACCCGGUAAGCCUAUCUACAGACCAAUCAAUUAAAAUUGAGAUUUUUUAAAAAUUAUCUCUAUUUUAUUUUAUCUUUUUUUUCAUAAUUAAUCGUUAUAAUACUCUCAUUUUAAUAAAAAAAAUACUUUGGUUCAUUAAUGAGUACGUAGACGGGUCCAAGCAAGUCAAUCCUGUUUAAUAAUUUUAUAUAUAAAAGUUCAAUCAAGUUAACACUACGGUUUUUUAAAAUUGACUACUUCAUACUCAAAAUAUAGAGUGAUUCUGCAACAAAUCGAUAAGUUAAAUGUAUUUUUAUAAAUUUAGUAUGUAAAAUAAUUCAAUAAUCAUGAUUUAUCAUGAUCAUAAUGAUCAUUUUGCAUAUUCUGAGAUUAAUUUGUCUAGACUUGGAUCAUGUAUGAGCUCGUAUCCAUAGACCAACCAAUGGAAAGUAAUCUUUCACUGCAUUGAGGGUUUACUAAUGAAUUAAUCACAUUUUUGGACAAUAUUACUUAUAAUCAAUUUAUAAGGAAAAAACACACACACACACAAGAAGCUAUUAGCAUAAUUACUAAUUUAUUUAUCAUAAAGAGAGAUCUACACUCUCUAACACAUUACCGCAACAUUCUAUUCUUACUGAUAUAUAGCUUACAUGCAAACCAACCAAGCAACAAGUUCUUCUUACGAGCUACCAAUAUUAGCAAAUUCGAUAGCCCCAUCAUUAAUUUAAUUGCCCGGAGCUAUUAUUACCAUUCCCAGUAUUAGUAUGGCUGCCGCUAUUAUGAUAGGAAUAAGGGUUUGGAUAACUAGGAUUGGCAUAAUAAGGCAGCGGUGGUGGUGGAGGAGGCGGAGCAGGGGGAUAAACAUAAUAAGGAGGAGGAGGAGGAGGAGCAUAGCAGUAUUGUGGUGGUGGUGGAGGAGUUAUUAUAUAUUUCUGUGUAUAAGCAAAACAAACAGGAGGAGGAGUAGGAGGAGCAUAGCAGUGUAGUGGUUUUGGUAAUAAUGAUAUACAUUUUUUCAUGUCAGUCUCUUCAACUCUGUGUAGCUUAUCAAUCUUUGGGUCGAAAUGGUCUCGCACUUGUUCUUUAAUUCGUUCUGCCAUAGCUAGUUGCUUGUAACUAUCUUAAUCUUACUAUGCUUGCAGGAAUAGGAACAAGGAAAUUCUUAUUAUAUAGAGGUUGCCAGAGAAUCUAUGAGGAACAUUAGCUUCAGACCAAAGCUACUUCGUUAAUUAGAAAUCCCAAAAUUGUCUUUCCCAUUUAUCAUUGGGUGCAUGGUUAUUGUGUACAACUUCACAACGUGAUUAUGACAUCUGUUUCCUUUGGGCGAAGGUGGAAAUGUGUUGAAUCUAGAACGCAUAAUUUAUUAUGGAUGCUUUAUUCUAUCUCCACUUAUAAAAUGCCAAAUUGACACAAUAGACUUACGUUACGAUCUCAAGAGCUUUGCUAAAAAAAAUAGAAGAAAUAUAUAUACAUAGAGACAUGCAAAAUCUGAGAAAACCACACGAAUUUUUUACUAUAGCAGAGGUGAGGCAUCAGGCUGGCAUGGCACAAGCAUAAAAAACUUUUUGAGAUGCACGAUGUAGAACUAAUACAUUUUUUUUUUAAAUUCACACAUAGUAAUAUGGAAAAAACUUAUACAGGUCUAUGGUUCUCUUUAUAGACCAAAUAAAUGAAACUAAAGAUUCUUUAAGAAGUAUUCUCACUUAGGUAAGUUUUUCGCUAAUGAUAUUGAUAUCUGGUGUUAUAUUAGAGAAGAAAUCAAAUUAUAUAAAAAUGAAAAAUAAUUGUUUUUAUUUUAUCUUAUUAGAUGAGCUAUAUGAAAGGGUACUCUUUUAUAGGCUUCAAAUUCAAAUCCAUUAAUUAAGGAAUUCAAGCUUUCAUUAUCACAAGAUGUGACAUAAAAUCACUUCGUCAAUUUAUUUGUUAUUUCAAAUUAUACAAAAUUCACUAUUGAGUUAGUGAAUCUCAAAUUAAGCUCAAUUUUAAGUUUGCAAAAAAAGCCAUAAUUUUUUUUUUUUUUGAAAAAUAAAAAUUAUAAACUGUAAAUAAAUUGAGUUUGAGUUUGAAUAUAUUUUUAGCAAACCGAACUCAAAAGUAAUUAUUAGAAAUUGUAACGUUCAUAUAAUCAUCCUAAUAAACAGAGGAUGAUGAAACAUAUCUAUGUAUAUGUAAUGACUUCAUUUCAUAGCCAACUUUGAUUCCAAUUAAUCUAUAUUUUUUUAAUUAUUUUAAUUUUAAUUUUUUUUAUUUUUCCUAUUGUAUUUUAAUUUUACCUAACUAGUUGAAGCAUGAUUCUUCACAGCACAAACAAAGCAUUCGACAAUGAGAACCCAUUUCCCAACCACUAACGCGUGUGUAUAUAUUGGUGGAUGCUUUGAAAGUGGAAGAAGAAUAUAACGAUGCUUCAAAGCAGCAGGAGACUCCGCCCAAAUAGUUAGGAGGCCAAAAAAUAAUUUUAUUUAAUUAUAAAUGGCAAAACAAAUUUUUUUUUUAAAUUUUUUACAUUAAAAAUUGAUUUUUUUUUUUUUUUUUUUGAGAGGGCCACGGCCCCUUCGCCCUAGCUUGCGUCUGCCCCUGCUUCAAGUAUAGAAACCGUAAAACCCCAUUGAAAAAAUGAGGAAAGAAUUAUCUUUUUUUUUUAAAAGACAGAGAUAGUGCAAUCGUACUUUUAAAAAGAGAAGGAUAUGAUCAUAAUCUUUUCUUCUAAUUUUGUUAUUUAUAGUGUUAUUUAUUUAUCUUUUAUUUUUUAUUUUUUUGCAUAUAUGCUAUUGCCACCAACUUAUAUGGAUGAAAUUAAUUCAGGUUGACGUUAGAUAUAAAGUCUUCCUAGUAAUGAUAGCAAUUUUAAAUUUCAAAGUUUCAAUAUUAUUGAAAAAGUUCAUACGCAAAUCGAGAUGGAGCUAGACUUUAAAAUUUGGAUGCCAAAAAAAAAAAAUUCAAAAUAAAAAUUUCCAAAGCAAAGAAAGAUUUUUUUUUUUUUCACUGUAUUAUAAAGUAAAAUUAUAAAAAUUUUUGGAGUUUGAGGGUCGGUGCUCCUCCAAAUCCAAUAUCCCCCUCUCUCCCCACUGCAUGGGAAUAUAAUCCUCUUCGAAUGAUCUAACCAUUGUUGGCGUUGUUAAUAUUGCAAAAAUUGCAGCAACAUCAUUUUGUUUUCUUUUGUUUUUUACUUUAGAUGGAAAAGCCCAUGAUUUUAUUCACUUACAGAAGUCAAAAUUGGAUUGGAAAAAAAAAAUCCUUAUAAAAAUUAUGUUUUAUUCCUGUAAAAAUUAAAAUAUUUUAUUUCCCCUCCGGUAUUUUUAUUUUAAAAACACCUAAAUAAGAUAUAUGGACCAAAUAAAUGAAGAUAAAAAAUGAACAUAAUAAGCAAAUUAUUUGCUGUACAAAUAUAUAUGAUCAAUACUCAAAAAUAAACAUAAUAAGGAAAUUAAAUAAUAGAUCGGUAGUUAAAGAUAUUACCAUAAUAUUUUAUUUAUCAUGAAAUAAAGAGGUACAUAUAAGACCUCAUAUAUAUAUACAUAUAUAUAUAUAUAUAUAUAUAUAUAUAUAUAUAACACAACACAGUCUUGGACAGGUAGAUACUUACGUUGGUCAUAACUCUAAAGCCGCAGACAUGUUAUUUAAUUGUUUUGAACAGCUAGCUGCUAACUUUCACUUCACACUUAGCUUCAUUAAUUAAUUACUCAUACCAAGUUCUUAAGAGCUGCCUAUGUUGCCAAAUUUCAUAGUUCCUUCGUUUUUUUGACCGGAACUAUUAUUACCGUUGCCGGUAUUGGUAUGGCCACCACUAUUAUGGUAAGAAUAAGGAGGAUAUGGAUAACCUGGACCUGGCUGUGAAGGGUGGCCAUAAUAAGGUGGUGGUGGAGGAGGAGCCGGAGGAUAUCCAUGGUUGUUAUGAGGUGGCGGAGGAUGAGCCGGAGGAUACCCGGGAUACCCAUAGUUACCAUUAUGAGACGGUGGCGGAGGAGGAGGAGGAGGAGGAGCAGGAGGAUAUCCAUGAUUUCCAUUAUGAGGUGGCGGAUGAUGAGCCGAAGGAUAUCCGGGAUACCCAUAGUUUCCAUUAUGAGGCGGUGGCGGAGGAGGAGCAGCAUAGCUGUUGGGAUUGCAUUGUGGUGGCGGCGGAGGAUAGGAAUGAUAAGAUUCAUAAGACGAAGGUGGUUGUACUAAACAUUUUGAUGAAGCUUUCUUCUUGAGGUUGGUCUUUUCUUCAGGAUGAGUAUCAGUAACCCAGUUGAAAAGACCGCGAGCAACGCCAUGUAUGGCACCGUCCAGUGGAGCUAAAGGAAAAGUUACAACAUCAGCUACCCUGUGCAGAGUAUCGAACUGUAGUUCGACACUGUCUCUCACCUGAUUUUUAACUCGGACAGCCAUAGCCACACUGUUCUAUAACUAGCUUAAUUACUUAUGCUUUGGUUAUGGUGCACUGAUACACUUAAUAUAUACAAUCUAUUUAUGGAUGUGUGCAGGGAUGAUGAAGAAUAUAUUUUCUGCUUCGUACUAAAGCUACUUUUUCUCUAUAAGAAUUAUUCAUAUUCACCAUAUUAUGUGGAGAAGAGGACUGCGACUAUUUUAUUUUUCAUGGUUUUUCACAGUCUUGGACAGGUAGAUACUUACGUUGGUCAUAACUCUAAAGCCGCAGACAUGUUAUUUAAUUGUUUUGAACAGCUAGCUGCUAACUUUCACUUCACACUUAGCUUCAUUAAUUAAUUACUCAUACCAAGUUCUUAAGAGCUGCCUAUGUUGCCAAAUUUCAUAGUUCCUUCGUUUUUUUGACCGGAACUAUUAUUACCGUUGCCGGUAUUGGUAUGGCCACCACUAUUAUGGUAAGAAUAAGGAGGAUAUGGAUAACCUGGACCUGGCUGUGAAGGGUGGCCAUAAUAAGGUGGUGGUGGAGGAGGAGCCGGAGGAUAUCCAUGGUUGUUAUGAGGUGGCGGAGGAUGAGCCGGAGGAUACCCGGGAUACCCAUAGUUACCAUUAUGAGACGGUGGCGGAGGAGGAGGAGGAGGAGGAGCAGGAGGAUAUCCAUGAUUUCCAUUAUGAGGUGGCGGAUGAUGAGCCGAAGGAUAUCCGGGAUACCCAUAGUUUCCAUUAUGAGGCGGUGGCGGAGGAGGAGCAGCAUAGCUGUUGGGAUUGCAUUGUGGUGGCGGCGGAGGAUAGGAAUGAUAAGAUUCAUAAGACGAAGGUGGUUGUACUAAACAUUUUGAUGAAGCUUUCUUCUUGAGGUUGGUCUUUUCUUCAGGAUGAGUAUCAGUAACCCAGUUGAAAAGACCGCGAGCAACGCCAUGUAUGGCACCGUCCAGUGGAGCUAAAGGAAAAGUUACAACAUCAGCUACCCUGUGCAGAGUAUCGAACUGUAGUUCGACACUGUCUCUCACCUGAUUUUUAACUCGGACAGCCAUAGCCACACUGUUCUAUAACUAGCUUAAUUACUUAUGCUUUGGUUAUGGUGCACUGAUACACUUAAUAUAUACAAUCUAUUUAUGGAUGUGUGCAGGGAUGAUGAAGAAUAUAUUUUCUGCUUCGUACUAAAGCUACUUUUUCUCUAUAAGAAUUAUUCAUAUUCACCAUAUUAUGUGGAGAAGAGGACUGCGACUAUUUUAUUUUUCAUGGUUUUUUCUUUUUAGAGAAAUAAUGGAAUUAAACUUGUUAUCCCACUUGCAGUAUGGGAAUUAUCUAGUAGGGUGCCAAUUACCAUUUUAACGCAGAUGGGGUUGAAUUGAUAUGGAUCUCUUUUCAUAAGAGAGAAACAAAAUUUUAAUAUAACUAUGAAUAUAGUAUAAAUUUUUAUUUUCAUUAUUGAAAAUUUUUAAUAUUUCUAAUUUUCAUAUUAUAUAAAUUAUGCAAAAAUAAUUGUACGAUAUAGUUGCCAAAGAGUGAAUGAACCAAUACAUGAUUAGGGGUAAUGGUAUUCUCAUAUCUUUUUCUUGUUGUUCAGAUUUUUAAAAUUUUUUUACUUAGAUUGGGUAUGCUGAGAGACCUAUAUAUUGGUUUAAUUAAAAUUAAGGUUUUUACAUUUGCUAAGUUUUUCUUAAAUUUAUAAUUAAUAAUAACAAACUAUAAAUUGCUGAUAAAAAAAAAAUAUAGACAUAUUCUAAGGUUCUAAAAAUAUUCAAUUUUUGUGGCACAGUUAUCUAAUGUUUUCUUUGGAUUAAUGAAGUGCUUUAUAUAUAUUGGGGGGACUUGAAUGUGGUUGGAUGAUAGUGUGAGUAUCUCAUUUUCAGCUGCAAGAUAAGACAUGAGACUUGUUUUGAAUCUUUGAUAGCUAGUUUUCAAGGCAUGAUUCUCUGAACGUCGUAAUAUUUGGCAUUAAAACCAAACUCCAUCCAAUUGCAAUCGAGCGACGCACGUACGUAGUGACGCUGAAAUUGUAAUAUUCUCUAUAGAGAAGGCAAUGUUUGCGCAGACUGGCUUGCACAUUAUGGAGCUAGUCUUGCGCCUGGGCUGCAUCGAAUUCAACGGCCUCCUACAGGCAUGUUUCAUUUGAUUCUUCAUGACUUGUGUUUGGAGUCUCGUAUCUUAGAAAUGUUCUGAUGUAAUUUUUGUUCGUUUUGUUAUCUCAUUCUUUUUUCAAAACGAAAAAAUCUUGUACACAACUAUUCUAGUAAAAUAAUUUAUAUGAAAAUAUUUUCCAUAAUUUUUCAUUGUUUGAGGGAAUUCAGGAAAAAAAGUCAACGGAAAAUAUUUUCCAAUUUAAAGGAAAAUUAAAACAUUUUUAAGGAAAAUAAUUUUUCAUUUUUAAGAGCAUAAAUCAUUUUUCAGAGUUUGACAAACUUAUAAUUGUAACGUUUUAUUUUUCUAUUGAAUCGAGUCGUUGCUUAGAGUCGAGUCGGGCUGCUUUAAAACCCGGUUCGAGCCAUUAGAGUCUAGAGUGGGCUAGAAUGAAAUAAGGAGAAGAAGUGGACUUAUUUGAAGGAAAUAAAAGAUCAAAGUAUAAGGAUUAGGAGUUGAUUUCAUUAAAGUAUAAAGUUGAGGUAUUGAGUUGUACCAUUUUGACACUUGAGGUACCAUUUGGUAAUUUUCACAUAAAAAUCAAUGUAAUUCUAGAGACUACCCGUGAGUUCCAUUUCACUUUCAUUUCUUCAUCCUUAUCUUCAUCUUCUUCCUCUACUUUCCUCUUACACUUUCUUUUCUCCAUCAUGUUUAAUGGUGGGGAAGAUGUUAAUGGGAGUUAAGCAUUAAUUCAACUNNNNNNNNNNNNNNNNNNNNNNNNNNNNNNNNNNNNNNNNNNNNNNNNNNNNNNNNNNNNNNNNNNNNNNNNNNNNNNNNNNNNNNNNNNNNNNNNNNNNNNNNNNNNNNNNNNNNNNNNNNNNNNNNNNNNNNNNNNNNNNNNNNNNNNNNNNNNNNNNNNNNNNNNNNNNNNNNNNNNNNNNNNNNNNNNNNNNNNNNNNNNNNNNNNNNNNNNNNNNNNNNNNNNNNNNNNNNNNNNNNNNNNNNNNNNNNNNNNNNNNNNNNNNNNNNNNNNNNNNNNNNNNNNNNNNNNNNNNNNNNNNNNNNNNNNNNNNNNNNNNNNNNNNNNNNNNNNNNNNNNNNNNNNNNNNNNNNNNNNNNNNNNNNNNNNNNNNNNNNNNNNNNNNNNNNNNNNNNNNNNNNNNNNNNNNNNNNNNNNNNNNNNNNNNNUUAGCUUUACAUGGGUUUUUGAAUCACCCAAAUCGGAGUUAUAUAUUGAGAGAUAUGGUCAAAAGAGUACAGACUGUGCAGGCUGAAAAAUGCGCGCGCGCGAAUUGCAUGAAAAGCUCGCGAUCGCGACUUUCAUUUGCGCGCUCGCGACCUUCACCUGAAACUCUCUGACUCUCAUUUGGUGCUUUACGCACUCGCGACUUUGCACUGCGCGCUCGCGACUUGUGCCCGAUAACUCACUGACUCUCAUUUUUNNNNNNNNNNNNNNNNNNNNNNNNNNNNNNNNNNNNNNNNNNNNNNNNNNNNNNNNNNNNNNNNNNNNNNNNNNNNNNNNNNNNNNNNNNNNNNNNNNNNNNNNNNNNNNNNNNNNNNNNNNNNNNNNNNNNNNNNNNNNNNNNNNNNNNNNNNNNNNNNNNNNNNNNNNNNNNNNNNNNNNNNNNNNNNNNNNNNNNNNNNNNNNNNNNNNNNNNNNNNNNNNNNNNNNNNNNNNNNNNNNNNNNNNNNNNNNNNNNNNNNNNNNNNNNNNNNNNNNNNNNNNNNNNNNNNNNNNNNNNNNNNNNNNNNNNNNNNNNNNNNNNNNNNNNNNNNNNNNNNNNNNNNNNNNNNNNNNNNNNNNNNNNNNNNNNNNNNNNNNNNNNNNNNNNNNNNNNNNNNNNNNNNNNNNNNNNNNNNNNNNNNNNNNNNNNNNNNNNNNNNNNNNNNNNNNNNNNNNNNNNNNNNNNNNNNNNNNNNNNNNNNNNNNNNNNNNNNNNNNNNNNNNNNNNNNNNNNNNNNNNNNNNNNNNNNNNNNNNNNNNNNNNNNNNNNNNNNNNNNNNNNNNNNNNNNNNNNNNNNNNNNNNNNNNNNNNNNNNNNNNNNNNNNNNNNNNNNNNNNNNNNNNNNNNNNNNNNNNNNNNNNNNNNNNNNNNNNNNNNNNNNNNNNNNNNNNNNNNNNNNNNNNNNNNNNNNNNNNNNNNNNNNNNNNNNNNNNNNNNNNNNNNNNNNNNNNNNNNNNNNNNNNNNNNNNNNNNNNNNNNNNNNNNNNNNNNNNNNNNNNNNNNNNNNNNNNNNNNNNNNNNNNNNNNNNNNNNNNNNNNNNNNNNNNNNNNNNNNNNNNNNNNNNNNNNNNNNNNNNNNNNNNNNNNNNNNNNNNNNNNNNNNNNNNNNNNNNNNNNNNNNNNNNNNNNNNNNNNNNNNNNNNNNNNNNNNNNNNNNNNNNNNNNNNNNNNNNNNNNNNNNNNNNNNNNNNNNNNNNNNNNNNNNNNNNNNNNNNNNNNNNNNNNNNNNNNNNNNNNNNNNNNNNNNNNNNNNNNNNNNNNNNNNNNNNNNNNNNNNNNNNNNNNNNNNNUAGCAGAUAAGAUCAUGCUAGUAUCAUAAUGUGUGAUUAUAGGUUCAUGGAAAGGAGUUAUGAGAUAAUUAGAACUAAAUUAUUGAUGUUUUGAAUUAGAAAUUUAUUCGUUGCUAUAAAGAGACAUUUAUGUUGAAAUUUACUGAUUCUAUGAGUAUCAAUGCUUUAUAAAAUUUGUAUUUUAAGUUAGUUGCCAUCGCACUUUAUUAAGUAUGUGAAUUAUGAGCACCACUGAGUUUUAUACUCAGCGCGUCGAUUUUUAUCACGUGUAGGUUGAAGAUUGUGGUUAGUACUUGAAGAUUUGAGGAGUACGUUCAAAGCAGAAGUGACUAACUUGGUCAUAGUAGAUUGAGAGUUGUAAUAUUAAGAAUUAUGGCAUGUAUUAAGAUUUAUGGCAUGUAUAAUUAUUACAUUUUUUUUGGAGAUUAUGUUAUUUGAAUUAUAUGUAAUAAUAAAUUAUUUUGGUUUAUAUAUUUGGAGAUAAGCAUAGGAUUUAUUAAAUGAGUGAAUAUGAAAUAUUUUAAGUCAGUUGAUAUGAUUACUUCAUUAAGACUUGAUAUCUAUAAUGAAUGCAAGUAAUUGAUCUAGUUGGUAUGAUUAAGUCAUGAAGACUCGAUAUAGAUCAUGAAUGCACUUAAUUGCUAGAUAUUAAAUGCUGUUGAGGAUUUAUACAAUUAUGAAAAGAUAUAUAAAGUGUUAUUGUGUUAUGAUGAUUCUUUGGAGAUGUUGGAAGUUUAGAGUUUNNNNNNNNNNAGUUUAUAUUCAUAUUUUUCAUACAGUAUGAUAUCCGCAUGACAGGACAUAGGUUCAACCAGAUUGUAGCGUCUCGGCUCGGUUCAUUCGGGUUAACGGGUGGACCGGAAAGGGAUGUUACAAUAAUAACCUUAUAAAUUCAUAUUUUGUUAAUUUAUUAAUUAUCAGUAACCAUUAUCACCACUCACCGUUCACCAUCACGGCCACCAUCCACCAACAACACCUGCCACCAGUGACUUUUAUAAUUUAAUUUUUUUUACAUUCUUCUCAUAUUUAACAAUAAAAUUUUUAAAAUACGAAAUUUAUACUAUUAGUAUUUUUAUUUUCAUCGUCUUAUGAGUUAAAAAUUUUAAUAUUUUUAACUAAUUUUUAAAUUGCAACCAAAAAUGGAAAAUAAGUCAUUUGAAAAAUAUUUUCAAGGAAAAUAUUUUCCUUGUAAAAUAUUUUACAAAUGAACCAAUUAAUUGCCCUUGCAUAAUAUUAUAAUAUUACUUAUACGAAACAAUAAUUAAUUUUUUUAAAAAAAAAGAGGAUAUUAGAACAAUAACUAAUUUAUUUAUCAAUAAAGAGAGGUUUAAAACCUCAAAUACAACUAAGAUUACACCAGCAGAAUUAUUCAUACAUAUAUAAUUAUAUAGAUAGAAAGGUCAUUCGGUUACUGCUGGAUCCAUAUAGAGCUUGCAAGCAAACCAUGCAACAAGUUCUUCUUAGGAGCUACCAAUGUUUCCAAAUUUGACAGCUCCAUUGUUUGUUUGCCCAGAACUAUUAUUAUCAUUGCCGGUAUUAGUGUGGCCACCAGUGUUAUAAUAGGAAUAAGGAGGGUAUGGAUAACCAGGACCUGGCUGUGAAGGGUUGGUAUAAUAAGGUGGUGGCGGCGGAGGAGGAGACGGAGCAGGAGGAUAAGCAUAACUAGCAGGAGGAGGAGGAGGAGCAAAACAGCUUUGUGGUUGUGGUGGUAGACAAGUCUCGUUACAGGGUUUAGGUUUUUCCUCAGGAUGGGUAUCGGUGAGCCAGUUUAGAGCACCUCGAGCUAUGCCAUGUAUGGCUCCAUCAAGUGGGGCUAAAGGAAAGGUUAUAAUAUCAGCAGCUCUGUGUAGCCUAUCGAUCUUUCGCUCAAAAUGGUCUCGCACUCGAUCUUUAACUCGUUCUGCCAUAGCUAGCUAGUUGCUUUCUACUAGUCGUCUUUUCUUGUAUAUUUGGGAACAACAAAAUCCUCAUUAUAUAGAAGUUGCAGGAGAAUAUAUGAGGAAUAU